UAAUCCUUCCCCAAUUUAAUUUUUAAUAUAAUUUUUAAUUUUUAAUUUUAAAUAGAAAAUUUUAAAAACUUAUAAUUUGUAAUCUUAAAAUUAAUAUUAAAAUUUUUAAAUUUUAAUUUUAAUUAUUUAAAUUUUAAAUUUGGCAUUUUAUAUUUGAAUAUUUUAAAAUGUUUAAUUUGUAAUCUUAAAAUUAAUAUUUAUAUUUUUAAAUUUUAAUUUUUAAUUUUAAAAUUUAAAAUUCAAAUUUUACAUUUUAAAUUUUAAAUUUUAAAUUGUUAUUUUUAAUUAUUUAAAUUUUAUAUUUUAUAUUUUAUAUUUGAAAUUUUAAAUAUUUAUAAUUUGUAAUCUUAAAAUAUAUAUUUAUAAUUUUAAUUUUUUAAAUAUUUUUAAAUUUUAAAUUUUCAAUUUUCAAUUUUCAAUUUUAAUUAUUUAAAUUUAUAUUUGUUAGAUUUGAUUUAAAUUUUAAACUUUAAAUUUUUAAAUUUCAAAUUUAAAAAUAAAUUUUAAUUUUGAAUUUUUUAAUUUUAAAAGUUAUCUAUUUAAAUUUUAAAUUUUAAAUAUAAAAUUAAAAUUUUAAAUUCAAAUAUAAAAAUUGGCACAAAAUCAUUAUUUUCUAUUUAUAACAACCCACUAUCCUUCUUAUUCCACCUACUCCAACCAAACACUAUUUUACUUAUACAUGGAUUAAACCCAAUUCUCAACCAAACACAAAAGUACUCAAACCCCACCUUAACCCUUAACUUAAUCCUAUCCCUGGAAUAACUAGUUCUGACUUAACCCCAAACCAAACGAAGCUUUAAGGACUUAGGUACGUAAGUGACGUGGAUUUGAAUUAUAGCGGAAGCUGAUUGGGUUAGUUGUUAGUAUGUCUCUAAUGGUAAUUAGGGGCUAAUCCAAGUUGCUAUUUAUUCUCAAUCUAGGGAGGUUAUGUUGGCAGCCGACAACAUAACACCUAGUGGUGAGAAUGGGUGCACUUGAAUGCUUUCGCCUAAUUUGGUUUUGUAUGGAUGAGUCAUAAAGACGAGUAAAUAACGUGGGUCAAGUGACUAAUUUGGUUGCUACGUUUCAGGAGGCAAUGGCGCCGAUAAGACGCCCUAUGACGAGGCCUACUCCGAGACCCCGUCUGAGACACCUCAGUCGUCUGGGCCCGACGAGGUUCGGGAGUUGCGUGCUCAGGUGGCUGCACUUGUUGGAAUGGUGCAGCGACAGGAGGAGCAAAUGGGAAGGCUUCAAGACUGCGUUGCGACAGGUGGCGGCAGCAGCAGCGGCAGCACCUGCGAGCCGAGAUCCGCCCAUACCUUCGGCACCAGCUCCUAAUGUCGCAGGGGGAGCAAAUGCGGCAGCCGUGCCGGUGACGGCGCCUCACGUUACUCAAUAGAAGUCCCAAAUAGCCAGCUCUCGGGUUGAGGUACUGCGUUGGGGGUACCGGUACUGGAGGUCGUGUACCGGUACUGGAGAUCGCGUACCACAACCCAAUACAAAACCCAAAAGUUUAACGUUCAGGUUAAGGCACCCGGAAGCGGGUACUAGUACUAGAGGGCUCGCGUAUUAGUACUCCAAUUCGAGUACCGGUACUCAGCUCUGCGAAGUGCAGAAAUUGAAUGGGUGCAAAUAACAAAAGGUGGAGGGCUUAAAUGCAAUUGUGCUAUCUUAUAGAAGGAGCCCAAUGCAUUCAUUCCUUUUGCAUCAGAAAACCUUCUCAUUUUUUUUCUCUUCUCCUCUCCUUCUCUCUCUAGAAUCUCUCCAACAAGGGCUUUGGAGGAGAUUUAAAGGGUGGAUUGCAGCUUUUGGAGGAGGAGCUCAAGAACAAUGAAGGACUUGAGGUGCACGGUGGUCAAGGUGAGUUCCCUUGCAAGUAUGAGUUAGGAUUUGGUUUUAUUACCCUAAAAAUCCAUGUUUUUGGGAUUCGUGAGACAUAGGAGCUUAGUGUGCUCCAUGAAUUCCUAAGAAAAUUGGAUGUAUAUAGUGUAUGCAAACCCUAGGGUUAAAUUUAGGGUUUUGUAGGAAAUGAGGUCUAUGAUGAAAUUGAUCUCUUGUAUUCCUAAUUGAAGGAUAAUUCGACGCGUUGGGCAACUCGGAUUGGAGUUUCGACAAGCUUACGGCAUCCUAUUCAGGAAAAACCCUAUUUUGCCAUCGUUAAUGUUGGGUCGAGAGAAAUUGGCGAUGAUAAAUUGCGGGACUUGGGUUCUCGCAUCCCGGCAUCACUACGAGGUGGGUGGUGCUAUCCGAAACAGUCGGAUUUCUCUUCAUAUCUUCGUCACCAUAUUGAUCAUGUAUGUGUAUGUAUAGAAUUCAUACAUUGUAGGAUUAAAUUGUAAUAUGUUGGAACUUCUUACAUGCUUUUAAUGUAAAGAUGUACAUGAAUUGACGAUAGAACCUUGGACACACGAGAACCCUAUAGAUGUAUGAACUAAGAUGUGAACAUUGACAAUGUAGUAAACAUGGUGACAUUAUGACUAAAUGAGUUGAAUAGCAGCUAGAAACAUUGAAUGCUAGAGAAUGGUACACUACGAGUGUUAUGGCAUUAGUUGACAUGGUAUCCUCAUGGUUAGAGGAUUGAAUUAUACUCACAUGUAGUCUGAUAUGCUUGAGGGUGAUCGCUCAAUCUCAAGCGAUGAGCUCCGGAGUUGUCAUCAACUGAGCGGUAGCGGAAUUCUCCCCAGCAGACAGUCCUAUCAGGUUGUAGCGGAAAUCUCCCCGAUAAGAAAGGAUUUGGUUUGGUGAGUUGGGCUUAACCUAUGAGUUAGCCAAGAUGAUUGGGUUAUGGUCAUGGACAUGACAUGCAUCAUAAGCAUCCUAUAUGUAUUGUUUCAAUUUCUUAUUACAGGCAUAGUAGCUUCAUUAGUUUUGAGUUGUUUAUCUAUCUUUCUCUACUUAUAUCUGAUUAGACCUAGUGAGAAAGUCGGCGAGGUCGGCAGCCGAACCCACUGGAAACUUCUUGUAGUUCUCACCCCACCAUUUUGCAGAUCCUAAUGCGAGCGGGGCGGUCGAGGAUCGCAGCAAAGGCAUAACGCCCUAGGGAGUGGACCUCCGUGCAUUUGUUGUACCCUUUAUUUUCAUCUUUUGUAUUUGAUGAAAAGAACUUGUAAAGAGUGUAUUUUGGGAGAUGAAUAAUGUAUGUAAUGACAUAUGUAAAAGAGUUGUAUUUUGGAUAAUGUAAGCAAAGUUCAAAUUGUAUGGUUGUAAUAGAUAGAAAUUUACUUUCACUUGCUUUUGUUUACUUGCCCUCGUGCAUGUCAUGUAUAUUGAUGUUUUUCUGGGCAACUCAUUAUACAUGCUAUUAUUGUGGUUGAACCAUGGGCGAACAAGAGAGGCUCUGUCCGUUCCGCGUUUAUGUGCGUGCCUGAAUAGACCAAAUUGGCGGGCUCGGGGCGUGACAAUCAAGGUACAAGGAAAGGUAGGUAGAAAAACCUUGACCACUGGGAGCACACACAACUUUAUCGAUUUCCAAAUCGCUAAGUCAAUCAACGCUACUUCAACCACUACUUCACCGCUUGUUGUCACCAUAACUAACGGCCACAAAGUCUUGAGCAAAUUAAAAUGCCCACAUUUCAAGUAGGUCGUGCAAGGAGAGCCUUAUCAAGCUGACCUAAGAGUGAUCAGGUUGGAUGGGUCUAGCACUAUACUUGGCAUUGAUUGGCUUAGAUCCUCAGAAGGUAUGGAAAGGUUACUUUUGACUAUGGCAAUCACAGUCUCCUUCAGUAAAGAAGGGAAGCCAAUGAUGCUCAAGGGAAUCACUGAUGGAGCCAAACUGAGAGGGAUCGGUGCUAAACAAUGGAUUAAGGCCAGCUCAAUGGGGAAUUGCUGUGCCAUAGCUUACAUAGUGUUCCCUGGCAGCAAGGAUGAGAGGGAAAUACCUGUCAAGGUACAAGAAGUGCUAAAACAGUUGAAGAAUUGUUCCAAAAACCUGCUCAAUUGCCACCAGCAAAAAUACCACUGCAACCAAGGUCAGAACCUAUCAACAACCAGCCUUACCGAUAUAUGCAUGAGCAGAAGGGGGAAAUCGAAAUGCAAAUCAUAGAGAUGCUUCAAUCAUCCAUUAUACAAAGAAGCACAAGCCCGUAUGCCUCACCAGUGUUAUUGGUUAAGAAAAAAGACCAGAGUUGAAGACUAUUCGUGGAUUACCGACAAUUAAACAAGUCUACUAUCAAAGAUACGUAACCCAUUGUCACACCCCAAUAAUCCGACAUCGAAUAGGAAUGAGGAUGUGAUUGGGUAUAUAAGAGACUUUGACACUAGUAAUAAUAACUGGGCUUAAGCAUUUUGGGCCGCUGUUUGGGCCCAACAAGUUAUUGUUGCUAGUGGGCUGGGUCGUUACUUUUGGUAUCAGAGCCAAUUACCAGCCAAAAUUGUGUGGCAAGUCUCGACUGAGCCAGGGUCUGAACGACAAAGUGAUAGGCUAUGCCGGAGUCUGUAUGACAAGGUGGUCGGUUAUGCCAGGGUCAGGAUGACAAGGCUAGCGAGACGAGUCUCACAUCGCCUGGUGAUCUUGGGCUGUGUGUGUAAUUAGACUAACAAGGACGUCAGGGCCUUAACGGAGGGAGUCUGUCACACUCCAAUAAUCCCACAUCGGAUAGAAAUGGGGAUGUGAUUUGGUAUAUAAGAGACUUAGACACUAAUAAUAAUAACUGGGCUUAAGCAUUUUGGGCCGGUGUUUGGGCCCAACGAGUUAUUGUUGCUAGUGGGCUGGGUCGUUACUCCAUUCCCAUCCUAAAUGAUUUACUCGAUGAAUUGCAAGGUUCCAAAUAAUUCUCCCAAAUUAGGAUUUUUUUUACAUUUAGCCCCCUCAGAAAGCUUGUUUUUAUAAAUGGCCUUAGCAAUUUAUAUUUGGAUAUAUGGUCCUCUCCUUACCACGCGAGCGCCAAGCUGGCAAUUUAAGUUGAACACGGUGAUCGAAUCAUCAUAUUCAUAUUAACACUUUAGUCUCUUUCUUUAACUUAGGAAUAAUAAUAAAUACAAAAGGGAAUACGGUGAUCCAAUACACGAUGAUUGGAUCACCAUAUUCAACUUAAAAACGCCACGUAGGCGCUCGCGUGGCAAGGAGAAGGCUAUUUAUGCAAAUAUAAAUUUAUAUUUAUAGAAAAAAAAAUUUGAGGGGACUACACAUAAAAAAAGCCCCCAAAAUUGAUCUGCGUCAGGUUAUCACCAAUAGGAUAGACCCUAACGAUGUUUAUAAAACUGCAUUCCGAACGCACUCCGGUCAUUAUGAGUUUUUGGGCAUUCCAUUUGGACUUACAAAUGCCGCAGCUACUUUUCAAUCUCUCAUGAAUGAUAUAUUCACUCCAUACCUCAAAAAAUGUGUGUUGGUUUUCUUUAAUGAUAUACUAGUGUACAGCAAGAGUUUAGAGGAACACAUUGUACAUUUUGGAGCUAUUGAAGAAAACCCAGCUGUACGCUAAGAGAUCACAAUGCUUCUUUGGGCAAGAACAGGUGGAGUAUCUAGGUCACAUCAUCUCAAGUGUAUGAGUGGUGACUGAUCCCAAUAAAAUCAAGGCAAUGGUGAAUUGGCCAACACUAAUCAAUUUAAAAGGGCUAAGAGGAUUCUUGGGAUUGACCGGGUGUUACAGAAAAUUUAUAAUAGCGUAUGGGAGUAUUAGCCAGCCUCUGACAGAGUUAUAGAAGGAACACUUCAAGUGGAGUGAGAAAGCUAAAGAAGCAUUUGAGAGACUGAAGGUUGCUAUGACUCAAGCAUCAAUCCUAGUCAUGCCUGAUUUCAACAAGGCUUUUGUCCUAGUGGUGGAUGCAAGUGGAACAGGGAUUGGGGUAAUACUAUCCCAAGAAGGCAAACCAAUAGCUUAUUUGAGCAAGGCUAUAGGGCAGUGGCAAUUGGCCUUAUCCACCUAUGAAAAGGAAGUCUUAGCUAUAUUAAUGGCGGUGCAUAAAUGGAAACACUACCUUAGUCUGCAACCCUUCACCAUAAAAAAGGAUCACGAGCUUGAAAUAUUUGCUGGAACAAAAUAUUUCCAGCCCAAUGCAACAGAAAGGUAUGAUGAAGCUCAUGGGGUUUGACUACACUAUUGUGUAUAAGAAGGGCAAGGAAAAAAGAAUUAAGCACAUGAAAUGAAUUAAACAGUUUUUUUCUUCCCUGAUUAUCUCUUCCUCUCUUCUCCCUUUCUCCUCUAACUUCCCCUCUUUAUCUCUCUCCCAAAUUCUCAAUUUCCCCUUCCUCUCUCUCNGGUUUGUGGUUAUCCACGCCACCAACUCUCCCUCGUAUUUAUCUACUUGAGGGAGAGUGGCUUACUUAAUUAAGUUCCUCUCUCUCUCUAAAUUAUCCCAGAUUCCCAAUCCGAUCUUUACCAUCAUCCCCGCCGCCAUCCACGUCUCACAGCAAUCUCAUCAUCGAUGGGUUCCCGCGAGUCCGGGACAUUACAGUGUGCUAUUCUCAACAAAAUAAAUAAUCACAGAAGACUAGCCCCAUAGGCCAUAAUUCAUAACAGUUUACCUAAACAUGAAAACAAAUCCACCAAAAUAAUGUAAUAGCAAAUACCAUUUUCUUCUUAUACACUAACCAGCUAGAGUUUACUCUGCAAAUUUAAGGACCAACAAACAUCACCUUAAUACUAGACUUAGAUUAGUUUUCUAUCUUUUAUAGCAAUAGACCAUGCAAACCAAGCAGUGCAAGUGCUUCUAUGGCGAUUGAUCCAGGAUUUAACCAAAUGGUUUGCCGGAGCAAAAAGUACCAAUUCAAAGAUACCAAUGACUGAGUAUGAAAACGGUGCAACCAAAUAGAGCACAUAUUGUGAUAAAAUUUCAGCUAUAAGCAUAGUUAAUUCGCGAAUUAUUCACGAAUUACCGAAAAUCCGAAAAAAACAGUCUGUAUGCGAUUUAUUUCCAAAAAAUCGGAAUAAAACGCAAAUUUUUGGAUUAGAUUUAUUAUUCGCGAAUAAUUCGCGUAUGCCGAACUAUUCGGCUAGAAAAAUGUAUAAAAUUUUUGGAUAAAAUCCCUUUCCGAAUUAUUCGCAAAUUAUUGCCGAAUUAUUCGCGAAUUAUUGAAAAACUUAAUGAACUUUCGAAAUAUGUGGAUCAUAAAAAAAAAUGAAGAUGGAGACGACAAUAAACUUUGCUAUUGCUUUUCUUACUUAAUCUACUUUAUUUUGUAGCUCUCUAUUUUUAAUUCUUAAGAAUUUAUAUCUAUGUAUGCUAGUAGCAUGAGUCUAGAGAAAAAAGCUUAGUUUAAUAGCCGAAUUUUUUAUCCCGAAUUUUUAAUUGGUGAAUGUAUAAUUUUCGUAUAAAUUGUGUAUCCGAAUAAUUGGUGAACCCAUUUUUUAAGCCGUAUUUUUUAAUGAAUUUAAAAAUUGAGAUACGAAUUUUAUUCAAAUUAUACACGUACCGAAUUUUUGCCGAAUCCAAAUUAACUAACUAUGGUUUACGGUAUGGAAGUAUAUAUAACUUUGAAGAAAAACAAAAACGGUUAAAUUACUCUUGGGAAAAGAAAACAGAUUAUAUUGUUAAUACCUCUGUUUUUGUAGGGAAGGAAGAUGAUUCAAUAUACAUUCACAGAACUGCUCUAUCAUCUCAUAGCAAGAUGCUUGAUUUAUUUCAAUUAUAAGUCCUUCAAUCUGUUUCAAAAAGAUGUAAUCAAGUAACGCAAUAUUAUAAAGGGGAUAACAAAUUGUUGUAAAGCAUUUAUGUCAUAUGCAAAAUACAACACGAACAUGAUUUGAAAUCUCGCAACGAAAAUGAUAUGAUUCAAUUGUUUCAAAUUUCUAGUGAUUUACGAUAUGGUAGUUUUUAUAUAAUAGAAAUAUGUAAGAAAAGAUAGACUAACAACAAAAUAAAGAUAACUAAUGUGAAAGGAAAAAUAAGUAAUAAAGAAGUUUCUGAAAUUUAAAAAUUUAAUUACAGUACAAUAGAUGCGAAAUUUUGGUAAAAUGGCAAAAAAAAUUAUGAUGAAAAUCCUUGUUUAAAUUAUGCCUCUAGCACUUAGAUACGUUAGUAACCUAGAUUUUAAAAUUCAAAAGUUUGGGGGCUUAGGUGAAAAAAAUAAAUAAAUAUGAUUUGUGAUUGAUUUCAACUUUUAGCAAAGUGAAGGGGCCACACGCAAGAUUAAUGUGUUGGUGACGUACGAGGGAAGAAUUUUAUUAAAGUCCAGGGACCGAGGCACAAUUUCGACUAGUAUUUAAGACGACCUAAGAGAGAGCUUCGGUUUCUUUUUGAAACCCUUGCCGCCUCCCUCUUUCUCAAGCCGCCAUCACCACCACCUGGGCCGCCUUCACUCCCUCUCCUCCCUGCGGUCACUACCACCAUCACUGUCGGCAUCCUCUUCAGACCAGCAACUCCUUCGUGCUACUUGCAGCUUAAUCUCCCUUUUGAUCUGUAGCCGGGCAGCACCACCCCUCGGGCCACCUUUUUCCCUACUCGUAUGCCACCACCAUGCAUCGCGGUCUCCUUUCCCAACUUCGACCAUCCCCAACAGCAUCCCACUCUCCCUUGUGUGCAACCAGGUGCGCAGUUCCCUAGGUCGAGCUUGCUUUUCCUUCAACCGACCUCUUCUCUCCUUGUUACUGACCACUCUCGCCGGAGCUUCGAGACAACGAGGGUGAAGUUGUGCUCCAUUUUCUUCAUCCCUGCUUUAGUUGAAACAACUUCCGGAGAAAGAAAACACGAUCCUGAUAUGUAACAUACCACAUCCCUCAUAAAUCGUGCCGAGUCCCGUCAAAACGAGCGGAACGCGGAGUGGAACGAGUGGGUAUAGGCCCUAAGUGCAUUGGAGCCUAUAUAUGGUGCAAAGGGACCCGAGAGAGUGAGAUUUCAAAAUCUGGCUAAGUCCCAGAUUUUGUGCUCUCGGGGACCGGUCCCUGAAGGAGAGACCGGUCCCCGUACGCGUAGCCUGCCAAGAAAUCCUGAGGCAUCCGGUCCCUGGUGGUGAGACCGGUCCUCGGGAGACCGGUCCUUGGGGGAGAGACCGGUCCCUCGCUGCGCAGCAGCUGAAAAAGCUCGAAAAUCGGCUAAGUCCUGGAAAACCCCCGUUCGGGAACCGGUCCCUGGUCGGGGAGACCGGUCCCCGAAGGCGAAAAAUGCCCAGUCUGGGCAGAUCAAUGGGAAACAAGUGGAGGGGCUUAAAUGCAAUUGUCACAACACUAUAUAUGACCCAACCCCUCUCUCCCACAACCAUUUCUCUCCUCCUCUCCCAUUUUCUCUCUUUCUCUCUCUAGAACUCCUCUAGAGCUUGGAGAAGAAGAAGAAGAACUUGGAGAAGAAGGUGGAUUUGGUGCUUUGGAGGUUCUAGGAGCUCCCCAACAAGAAGAACUUUGGUGGAGCUUGGACUAUAGGUAAGUUUUGUGAGGUUUUCCUCUAGGGUUUGGGUUUUGGUUAAGAGAUUUGGAGCUUUGUGCUCCUUAGGGGCUUUAGAGACUCUUUUGAGCCAUGAAUGCCAUGGUACCCAUGAGAGCUCAAGGUGCUCUCAUAGUGAAUCCUUGGAAGUUGUGUUAGGAGCCCUAGGGAUGGUUCUAAAGGCUUAAAAAGCUUAGUAGGAUGCUUCUUAGAUGAUUCUAAGCUAUUAUUUGCUUAGGGUUGAGAUCAAUCCAUGAUGGAACCCUAGAUGACAUUGUUAGGGCUCAAAUUUGGGGCUUUUGCCCUAGGAUUUUUCGGAGGCAAAUUGACCUCGUAGAAACCUAAUUGGGGGUCAAAUAAACACGUUGGACGACUGCGUUUCACGUUACGAAAAUAUUUAAGUAUAGUUCUUGUACAAUCGGCCUAAUAGGGCACUAAUUUGGUUAUAGGACGCGGAGUCGGCGUUCGUAGCGCUCGGGAGUCAUCACAUUCCACACCCACACGAUCAUUAGAGGUGGGGGGUGCACGCCGGAAUCGUUGGAUUCCCUUCUAUGUCUAUUUCUCUAUUCUUGAGCAUAUGGUUGUUUAUUCCUUCAUGCAUAUUAAGGUUAAUGCACAUGUGAACUUUGGUUGUUUUCAUUAUAUUUAUCUCAAAGGUAUUUGAAAAUAGAGAGGAAUGGAACCAUGAUGGACAUGUGUUGUUGAACCCUAGGAAUUGCAUGAUAGUGGGACUUGGACUUAGCAUAAGUAAACAAAUGGUGACAUUGACAAUAUAGAGAUAGAUUGGCUUGGACAAAUAGAUGUUAAACAUAGAUUUAACUAUAGUGACAUUGUGACGAGAUCGACUAGAAAAUGGCAUGAAAACAUAGGUAGAAAACCUAUCACAAAAGUGGCAACGUGACAUGUGGCUUAAUAUCCUCAACGUGGGGAUUUGAUCGAUACUCAUGAUAAGUCUUGGCUUGAGAGAGAUCGCUCCCCCUCAAGCGGUGUGUUUCCGGAAAUCGACACCACAGGGAGCGAGGUCCCUGAAGACGGUCCCUCGGGUCUGUAGUGCUUGGAGCCUCCCCGGUAAAAAAAGGGAUUUUGGGUUAUGAGUUAUUGGGGUUAACAAGUUUAACCGGUAAGAUUGGGUAAGAGCCAAAGCUUAAUUAUGAUUUGAGCAUGCAUGCAUAUUUCAUUAUUGCAUCGAGUAUAUGUAUCCACUGAUAUUCUUCUGCAGGCAUGGUAUUAAAUUCAUUAGUAAUGGUUACUUUUCUUUUCUUGAAAUACUCAUGCCUGGAUAGACCUAGUGGGUAAGUUGGCGGGCUCGGAUGCCGAGCCCACUGGGAACUUCGUUGUAGUUCUCACACCACUAACCCUACAGGUCCUAGCACGAGCGGGGCGGCGGAGGACCGAGGCAAGGGUAUAGCGCCGUAGAUAGCGGCCACCGGGUCUUUGUACAUUUUGUAGUCAUUCCCCUUUUUGUUAUACAUGUAUCAACUUCUUUUGUUGACUUAGAAAUGUAAAGUUGUAAACAAUCACGUAUUUGGUGGAUGACUAGAUGUAAAAAGUUAUGAUGGAUGAAUGGAUAUGUAAUAGUUUUAAUUACUAGUAUUUGGUUUAAAUCUAAUCAAAUAUCAUGUAUGUUGAUUAUUUAGCUUAGGGCUUUCGCUUCCGUUAUUGCUUGCCCUCGUGCAAGCCUUGUAUUAUAUAUGCAAAUCUCUUGUUGAUUGCUUAUUUAUACAUGUUGUUAGUGCCUUGGGCGGACAGGGGAGGCUCUGUCCGUUCGGCGUCUGUUGACGUGACCCGAACCCGACCAAAUUGGCAGGGAUUGGGACGUGACAUCAUCUCUCUUGUACAGUCCAUUAUCACAUAUAUGUGAGGCAGAGGGGGUGCAUCGAGUAUGUUGUCAAGGAGGUCGUCGUGGGAUGAUUUGUGUUAGAUCUGCCGAGAACCCUCGUUAUCGAACCCACAAGGCAGCAGCCUUAAAUCACCCGCACGACCAAGGUUUUACUGACCAAACUCCUAGUUGGACAAACUCCUUGUUGGCCGAGCUCUUGCUAGUCGGGCUUCCUUGUGGUCGGCCUAGGUGGUCGUGCCCUUCGCUAGCUAAGCCCUAGCCAUUAGCUAACUGCAUGCGGUUCCGGUGACGGCACGUCCACCAUCGGUAAUUGUUCCUCAGGCGGCGUCGGGAUCAGCGACACCCGAUGUGACGGUCGAAGACGUGGAAGGAGGGCGCGCGUUAGCGGCUCUUAUCAAGUUCAAGAAGUUCAACCCACCCAUCUUCGAGGGGGAGAAGGUGGAGCCGGUGAUGGUCGAGUCUUGGAUCGACUCGAUGGAGACUCUCUUCGAAGAUCUGCGUACUUUGGAGAGAGAUAGGGUGUAUCUCGCCACCCACUGCUUGGAGAAAGCGGCGAAGGUCUGGUGGAAGCGCAUCAAACGGGAUCGACUUCCCGGCCUUCCGCCGAUGCUGUGGGAGGAGUUCAAGAGGGCGAUGUUCGCCAAUUAUUUCCCCGACACAUUGAAGCGGAAGCUCCAGGAGAAGUUCCGCAAGUUGGAGCAAGGGGACCGCUCAGUAGCGGAGUAUGAGCAGGAGUUCUCCCACAUCAUUGACUGUGUCCCGGAUGUAGUACGAGAUGACCGGGAUCGGGCCGACUGGUUCUUACAAGGACUUCGGCCGGGGAUCUACAAGGCCGUGCAGAUACUGAAGCUCACGACCUUCGCGGAGGUCUUCGACCGAGCGCUUUGGGCGAAGCACGGUGACGCCUAUGUUCGGGAGAAGCGCGAGAUGUUAGCCGAGUCCAAGGACAAGGGCAAGAAGCGCCAAGGCAGCGGUUCGGGGGGAACAAGCACGUUCCAAGAAGCCCCCGAAGUAUCCGCGGACUCAGCCAAAGGGCAGUGGAGCGCGACGGUGAGUCAUAUGUGGUGGAGACCACCUGGUGUCGCGUUGUGAGCAGCGCCAAGGCAAGUGCAACAAGUGCGGACAACCGGGGCACUUCAUACGGGAUUGCCCGGGAGGAGGAGCCUCACCUGCCCCAUCCACUGCAUCGGCGCCGGCGAUUCCGGCCCACUAUAGAGGAGUUCCACCGACGGCCGUGUCGGCGGGACGUGCGAUGAUGCCGCGCCAGCCCGAGAUGGCGCGAUCUGCCCCGAGCGGACGGGUAUUCGCCGCUCAGGUCCAAGCCGAGGAGCCUGCGGAGGCGGAGGAGCAUCGCCUUGUGGCAGGUAUGGUUUUAGUUAACGGAGUUCGCUCCAGGGCUAUGUUUAAUACAGGAGCCACGCAUUCAUUUAUCAGUAGAUCAUUCGCACACAUGCAUGACAUACUCAUAGAGGCAAGUGAUGACAAGUGGUGAGUUGAGGGCCCUGGGUCGACAUUUAAUACUUACACGGAAUGCUCAUCGUGUCAAGUACAAGUAGGUGACUGGAUAAUGCCCAUUAGGAUGCUUGAACUCAAGAACCUUAAAGAGUUCGACGUCAUAUUGGGCAUAGACUGGCUCUCGAAGUAUCAUGCAACGAUUGAUUGUAAGAACAGAGUGAUCACAUUUCGUGAGCCAGGGCAGAAGGAGUUCACUUAUCGAGCUUGUCAAAGCUCGUGCUUCGACGCGACGGUGUCGGCGACGAGAGCAAGAAAGUUGGUCAACAGCGGUUGCGUAGCGUUUUUGGCAACUGUUGUGGAAGUGGAUCGAGCAGCUCUAACAUUAGAGGAGUUAUCGGUGGUGCGGGAGUUCCCGAAUGUGUUUCCCGCGGAGUUACCGGGGAUACCACCGGAUCGGGAGAUCGAGUUCGUCAUAGACUUGAUUCCCGGUACCGCACCGAUCUCGAAGGCUCCGUACCGAAUGGCGCCGGCGAAACUGAAAGAGUUGAGGAGUCAGUUAUAGGACCUCCUCGACAAGCAAUUCAUCCGAUCAAGUGUAUUACCGCGGGGAGCCCCAGUGUUAUUUGUGCGGAAGAAGGACGGAUCGUUUCGGCUCUGUGUAGAUUAUCGAGAAUUGAACAAGGUCACGAUCAAGAACAAGUACCCACUACCCCGAAUCGAUGAUUUGUUCGACCAGUUGCAGAGGUUGUGUGUGUACUCGAAAAUAGAUUUGCAGUCCGGCUAUCACCAGUUGAAGAUCAAGCCGGAGGAUGUGCAGAAAACUGCGUUCCGUACGCGGUACGGGCACUAUGAAUUCACGGUCAUGCCAUUUGGACUCACGAAUGCUCCAGCGGCGUUUAUGGAUUUGAUGAACCGUGUCUUCAGAGAGUUCUUGGACCGAUUUGUCGUGGUCUUCAUAGACGACAUAUUGGUCUAUUCUCGUAGUGACGAGGAACAUGCCAAGCAUUUGAGGAUUGUGCUUCAAGUCCUUCGAGAAGAGAAGCUGUAUGCUAAGUUAAAGAAGUGUGACUUCUGGCUCCGAGAGGUCGCAUUUCUAGGGCAUGUGAUUUCUGCGGGGGGAGUUUCGGUAGACCCGAGGAAAGUUGAGGUAAUCAAGGAUUGGCCGCGCCCAACGAACGUCACGGAAGUUAGAAAUUUCGUGGGUUUGGCGGGCUACUAUAGGCGGUUCGUGGAAGGCUUUUCAAAGAUAGUAAUUCCACUUACCCGUCUGACUCAGAAAGGCACCAAAUUUGUUUGGAGCGAGGAAUGCGACCGGAGUUUUAAAGAGUUGAAGGAAAGAUUGAUUUCAACUCCGAUGCUCGCUCUACCGGUGCAGGGCGAAGACUUCGUGGUCUACAGUGAUGCUUCCUAUCUAGAAGUGGGGUGUGUUUUAAUGCAAGGCGGGAAAGUAAUUGCUUAUGCAUCCCGUCAGCUGAAGAGCUAUGAAAAGAACUACCCCAUUUACGAUUUGGAGCUGGCGGCGGUGAUCUUCGCCUUAAAGUUGUGGCGGCACUAUCUGUAUGGUGCGCAUUGCGAGAUCUAUACCGAUCACAAGAGCCUGAAAUAUCUGUUCACACAGAAAGAGCUCAACAUGCGUCAAAGACGGUGGUUAGAAUUGUUAAAGGAUUACGACAUGGAUAUCCUUUACCACCCGAGGAAGGCGAAUGUGGUCGCGGAUGCACUGAACACUAAGUCGGCGGAAAACCUCGCUAUGUGGGUUACAAAUCAAACACCCCUAUGGCUGGACAUGGAGCGAAUGAACAUUGAGGUAGUUGCUCCCGAGAUUCCGGCUCAAUUGACGGCACUCGUUGUCCAACCAACCUUGUUGGAGAGGAUCAAAGAUCUGCAACCUGCGGACCCGGAACUCCAAAAGGUGCAGCGCAACAUCGAGAAUGGUCGUGGCGGCGAUUUCAUGGUAGACGCCGACGGUGCACUUCGAUUUCGAAACCGAUGGUGUGUGCCAAACAACGAGGAGAUCCGAAGGCUAAUCUUGCAAGAAGCACAUCGGUCUCCGUAUGCUGAUCACCCGGGCGGCACCAAAAUGUAUCAGGGAUUAAAAAUGCACUAUUGGUGGCCGGAAAUGAAAAGUGAUAUUGGACGCUUCGUGGCGAAGUGCUUAGUGUGCCAACAAGUAAAGGCCGAGCAUCGGUUUCCAGCGGGAAAGCUUCAAAGCCUACCAAUCCCCAUUUGGAAAUGAGAGGAUAUAUCAAUGGACUUCGUAGUCGGCUUGCCUCGCUCAACGGGCGGCCACGAUAGGAUAUGGGUAAUUGUGGACCGAUUGACGAAGUCGGCUUACUUUUUGCCGAUCCACACCACGUGGGCAGGCGACAAGUUGACGCAGGUGUACCUUGAUGAGAUAGUGAGGUUGCACGGGGUGCCGAAAUGGAUCGUGUCGGAUCGCGACCCCCAGUUUACUUCACACUUCUGGAAGAGCCUACAGGAAGCCCUUGGCACACGGCUCGACUUCAGCACAGCAUUUCAUCCUCAGACAGAUGGGCAAACAGAGAGGACCAUUCAAACUCUAGAGGAUAUGUUGCGAGCGUGUGUCAUCGACUAUAAAGGGAGUUGGUGUGAUCAUCUACUGAUGGCCGAGUUCGCCUACAACAAUAGUUAUCACGCAAGUGUGGAGAUGGCACCAUUCGAGGCUCUCUACGGGCGGAAGUGUCGGUCUCCUAUACACUGGAGCGAUGUGGGUGAGCGUGCAGAGUUCGGCCCUGAUGUUCUGCGAGAAGCGGAGGAGAAAGUCCGCCUUGCUCGCAAGCGAUUGCUCACGGCGCAGUCGAGACAGAAAAGCUAUGCAAAUAGGGGCCGUCGAGAUAUAGAGUUCGCGGUGGGCGACCGCGUAUUCUUAAAGGUUCCGCCAAUGCGGGGUGUGAAGCGGUUUGGAAUGCGGGAAAAGUUGAGUCCCCGGUACAUUGGACCCUAUGAAAUAUUGGAGCGAGUUGGCACGGUGGCUUAUCGGCUCGCCUUGCCGCCGAAGCUCGCAGAUGUACACAAUAUGUUCCAUGUCUCCAACCUUCGCAAGUACAUUCAUGACCCCGAGCACGCGAUGCUAUACGAGCCGCCGGAACUCCAAGAAGACUUGAGCUACGAGGAGUUUCCAGUGAUGGUUAUCGCCCGAGAAGUGCGAAAGCUGCGAAAUCGCGAGAUUCCCUAUGUGAAGGUCCGGUGGAGCAAUCACGAUGCUCGCGAAGCCACCUGGGAACUCGAGGAUCUGAUGAGAAAGUAUCAUCCUUACUUGUUUGAGGAGUAAGGUAUGAAAACUGAGUAUAAAUUAAGUUGAAUUAGUUUCGAGGACGAAACUCCUUUUAAAGAGGGGAGGAUGUAAGGAAGUGAAUUCUCGAAAUCCGAGAGUUAUACUUCGUUCAGGAUGGACUAAUUGUCGAGUGGGUAGGCUUCGGAGAAGCUAGAGAUGUCCAAAACACAAAAAGUGCUUUGGAGUCGAGUCCGCGAGAACAAAUAAUGCAAAAAUCUGCACUGGGCAGAGUUUGCUCUUGGGGACCGGUCCCUGGCAGGAAGGACCGGUCCCCGUAGCUGGUGGUUGCGGUGGAUGCUUGAUGCAACCGGUCCUAGGCUUGAGGGACCGGUCCCCGUAAGUGCAACCAGCGAGAAAGCGAGAAUUUGGCUAAGUCCUAAGAAUUCCACUCUCGGGAACCGAUCUCUUAGGCAAGGACCGAUCUCUCGGGCAGGGACCGGUUCCCAUACGCAUGAAGGCUGGCAGAGAGCCUUCCUCCCGCAUGGAUUGCUCUCGGGGACCGGCCUUCCCGACGAGGGAUCGGUCCCUCCGCGCGAAAACUGCCCAGGCAGAGCAGUUUGAGAAAUAAAAAGUUGAGGGGCUUGGCUGCAAUUAUGCCUUAGUUAGAGAGUAUAGAGAGCUAAGGGCUCUCUCUCCUUCUCUCAUUUCCCUCCUAACUCUCAUCUCUCUCUCUCUCCCUCUCUCUCUAGAAAGAAAGAAAAGAGAAGAAAAGAAGGAGAAGUAGAAGAAGGAGAAAGGAAGAAAAAGAAGAAGAAGGAGAGCAAGCUAGGGAAGGCUUGGAGCAUCUUCUCCUCUUCCUCUCCUCUCCAUUGGAGCUAACCUAGAGGUAAGCUCUUGAACCCUAAUGGUAGAACUUAGGGUUUUUGGAUUUUUGGCUUUUGAGAUGAGGUCAAAUGGACCUCUAGCACCAUUAAUGGUGGAAUAGAGCUAGAAGCUAGGGUUCUAUAGUGCUAAUUGCAAGAUGUCAACUCUAGGGCACCCAAAUUGGGGUUUUUGAUAAAUGAUGAGAUUGAUCUCAUUUAGUAGCUUGUAAACCUAAUUGAUAGGUGUCUAAACGCGGGGGCGAAGUCGGAUUUUCGGUUCGUUGAGUGGGUGAAAAGCUAUCGGCGAAAUAUAGCCGAUUGAGCGCCGUUUUGAACCAAGGAGGCCGAGACCUCGUCGUAACAUUCAUUGGGAAGCAUUUCUAGAACCUUCAUACCUCAAAAGGUGGGGGGUGUCAUCCAGAAGCAACCGAACUCUUUUCUAUGUCUUAGAAAUACAUGAUUUUCAUCUCUUGCAUGUUGCAUUGUAGGAUUGCAUUGUAGUACCUUUUCCUUAUGCUUCUAAAUAUUAACCUAGUGUACAUGAAAUACUCGAUGAAAUGGAUAGAUAAGGAUUGGGUCGGAACAUAGAUCCUAUAGUGCUAAAGGAAAGAGAUGAACUCGAUGGUUUUUUAGUGACAAAGAGAGUGGCAUCUAAAUGUUUAAAGAACAGAACGAGUGGCAUUAUGUAGUGUAUUUGACACUAGAGGUUCGUGAACUUAGGGAUAGGUGGAUUUCCUAGAAAAUGACUCGUGAACAAUAAACUUAGUAGAGCUAAGUAACUUUGCAUGAAUGUCGGAAUAGGUGAGUUCCAAGAGAAAUGUUGGCCCUAGUUCGUAGGGUAUCCUCACGUGGAGAGGAUAGAUCAAGCUCACGGUCUGUUAUUCGGGAUGGUAAAGCCAUCCGUAUCCUCACAUGGAGAGAAUUGUCGUCGAAUACUCCAGAGUGUCGGGCAAUUGGGCAGAGUUGUCCGCAGACAGUCCCGGGUUCGGGGGCACAUGGAGCCUCCUUACCCAAUGGGAUGGAUAUGUGAGGCGUAGGCAAACCCAAGGGUUUUGCCACAGAUUUGGUAAAUGAAAAGUUAAUAUUGUUAUCGAACAUUACUUAUCGAACAUGGAUCGAACUUGUUAGCAUGAUAGUAAACUUUUACUAAAUAAUGCAUGCAUUCAUUACACAUGAUCAUGGGCAUAAUAGCAUAGUUUUCCUAUUAUGUCUCUACAGCUUUGAUAUAUAUAUAUAUAUAUAUACACCUAUCUAUCUCGUUGUUAUUUGUGCCCACUUGGACCUAGUGGGGAGAUCGGCGGAGUCGGUGGCCGAGCCCACUGGAACUAUGGAAGAUAGUUCUCACCCCACUCUAUUUCCAGGGCUAGGUACAAGUUUGCCGGGCGAGGACCGCGGCAAGGGCAUCGCGCCCGACCAGUGAGGAUUAUUGGUAGAGUAGUAGCUUUCCUUUUGCAUUAGCACACCUAUGUAUUUGAGAGAGAUUCAUGUAGGUGAGGACUUUGGAGAGCUAUGUACUUGAUUAAAAUAUGUAUUCAUUUUGAGGAAAAGAAUGUAAUUGUAUACAAAAUGCAAAUGUGAUGUAAUAGUUAGUAAGUUCUCUCUUUAUUUCACUUGUGUAUCUUGUGGAUUACUUGCUCUUUGUUGUUGGCACUGUUUGUGCCCCGUUGAUUGUGUACUCAUAGAAUUUAAAAUCCUGGGUAAAUUCUUGCACUCGAUCUGUUGUUGAGCCUUGGGCGGACAAGGGAGGUGCUGUCCGUUCGGUAUCCGUUCGCCGCGCCCGAACCGUGCCAAAUUGAUAGGGGUUUCGGGGCGGGGGGCGUGACAAUCUUACUCGAUUAUUUUAGGACUUUUUUUUGCAUUUAGCCCCCUCAAAACUUUUUUUUUCUACAAAUAGCCCUAACAAAUUUAUAUUUGCAUAAAUAGCCUCUCCUUGCCACGUGAGUGCGUAGGUGGCGUUUUUAAGUUCAACACGCUAAUUCAAUCACCAAAUUUAAACACGAUGAUUGGAUCAUCAUAUUCUUUUUUGUAUUUUUAUCACCCCUAGGUUAAAAAAGAGGGAGUAGAGUAUGGAUAUAAACAUAGUGAUUCAAUCAUUGUGUUUAAACUCGAUGAUUAAAUUAAAAAUGCCAACGUGUCGUUCGCAUGGCAAGGAGAGGACCAUAUAUGCAAAUAUAAAUUCGUUAGGGCCAUUUGUUAAAAAAAAAGUUUUGAGGAGGAUAAAUGCAAAAAAAGCUUAUUAUUUUAUUAUACACAGUGAUUGCUUUAUAUUUGUUAGUGUAGUACAGUCCUACACUAGAUCUUCAUAUAUGAUUCAUAUUUGACACUCAUGCAUGCUAGAUGCUGCUCUACAUACCAAUCGUUAUUCCUUUUUGAAAUGACAGCAUGCUUUUGGUUACUAUGCGUUAUCCCUUUUUUUUCCAUUGAUACUUGACAUGUAGAGAACUAAAGCAGGAUUGCCUAUAGUCUAGCUAUUUGACAUGCUCGUGGGUAUAAAUCCUAAUUGGAUUUGUUGAUUACUUUGUGGGAGUUCUUUCGGCUUCAUGUUGUGACUUGGUUAUCAGAUUGAUACACAAGUUGAGCAUAUCACCUUGUGAUCGCCAUAGCUAGCGGCACAUCCACGAACACCUUUGCAGCAAUCUGAUCCACCCAAUGGCUUUCUUUUUCGAAAAGUGAUUCGGAGCAUACCCAUGAGCCCUUUGUCGUACUCGUGGUGUUACAGAUUAUAUGCCAGUUUUGUCAGGCGUUCGCAGUGAUUCAAAAGGCGCGCCCCAGGUGUGAGCCUAGGCGCUAGGCAAGGUCACCUGCGCCUAGGCAUCCCCCAGGCGAGCGACCUCGCCUGGGCGCGCGCUUAUCUUGAAGCGCCAGUCGCUCUCAGGCACGCCCGAAGCUCUGAUGGAUUUGGACUUUUGAUCCAAGUCAUCCAACUAAUCCCUUUAAGACUUAAAAAAAAAAAAAAAAAAAACCCAAACCAAAUCUAGGGUUGAGAAAUCCUAAAAAUCAAUCACUCGUCACCUGCGACUCCUGAUGCUCCGCUCAAGCAAGCAUUAUCCCUCUCUCUGUCUCGCUCACUCGAAUAAUUAGUUUUCAUAUGAUGCCCUUUUGUUCUUUGUCUUGAAACUUAUGUUUUUAUUUUUUUAUGAAUGCUACUUGCAUACUUUUUGAUGAUCAUAUGCUUAUAAUUGGUAUGUCUUUGACAUCCUAUAAGUUUGUGCACUACUAGUUAGCUUCAUGCUUGCCUUUAUUUAGAGACAAAAAGGUAAUUGUUCUCUGCUUUAGUACUUUUGCAUGUAUUAUUUUGUUUUUUUAACAUUAUCACAAUCAUAUAUCUGUUCUUUAGUUUCUUUUCUUUUUUUCAUCUUUUUUUAUUCCGACGAUGUGAUUCUUUGGUUGUUUAUAAAAUAUCUAUUCUGGAAUAUGAUUUUUUAAGAGUCUUUAGUGUCCUUUAACAAUUGUUAAAAGGUAUAUUUGUUUAUUUCAAUAUUCUGUGAAAGUUUGCUCCUCACCUCUCUCAAGUGUGCUCCUACGCCAUGCGCCUUACACUUAUGCCCUAACAGCCUUUUGCACUUUGGUCCGCCUUGGGCUUUUUUAAACAUUAGGCAUCCGUCGUGGCAUUGUCGUGGCAUGAGCCUAAAGUCUGUCAGACUUCUUGCUCGAUUGGCUCAUGAUACAUAUAGAUACACCUACUAACGAUUGGCUUUCAUUACAAUGACACUAUUACUCAGUUUACAUUACUUAAUUGUCAUUACCUGCUUUUGAUUAUGUGGCUGUCUCUUAUCAUCCUGAUUACUGUUCAAUUCAUUAUCCUCCAAAUUACCUAUUUCUCCCUUUGUUUACCGGUAGGUAUGGCUUGCCUUUGGCAGCUCGCUGUACCUACUGAAAAGCAUUUUAUAUAAUUCUCACCCCCUAUUUUUACAAGUGACAUGCGUGGAGGUCAGGACGCUUCGUGAAGUCGAAUCUAGUUAGACCCACAUAGAAAACUCGCACAGGCCUUGGGUAGUUGAUUGGAUGGCCAGUUGUAUUAAACUCAGAUUUCUUGCUAUUACUUCACGUCGUUAGUUUUAUGCUGGAUAAGGAGAUGAGUAGUUAUUAUUCUAUUCAGAGUAUUAUGCAGUUUGGUUAAUUAGUUAAUUACAAAUUCCUUUGGUUGGAUUAUGGUAAGUGUCAAGAUUAUGUUUAACUUGUGUUCAUGUGAAAGAUAGAAAUUUCUACUUUAAUUCCUAUAAUCACAAUUCCAUUGUUAUAUACAAUGGGUGCAAGAUGUGUAUGUAUGAUCAUACUAGGUUCUAUGUUGUUGUUGCUUUGUAUUCCGAUGACAUGCACGGACAGGAGAGAUGUUAUCUGUGUGGCAAGUCUAUUCACUCUAUCAGCAAGGCUUUAAAAUGAUUUUAUUCAGCUUCCGCAGUUCUCUGAUUCCAGAAGAAAAGGAUUUCAAAAAUGCAUUUUAAAAACGGGACUAGGGCAUGACAGAUACAAUUGAGAAAAUUAUCAUCAGAACAACUAAAUCAUAAACGAUCUACAUAUCAUCAAUUACAAGAUGUCAAGACCUACUAAAAAUGACUAAAAAGUAUUUAACACAAUCUUGAAUUCUUAAACUAUAAAACUAAAUGAGCUAUAAAUUGCAAACUGAUGGUCAGCUACGUAAGUGUUUUCAACCAUCAACCAUUGAUUUUGAAAAUUUAAGGAAACAUGACAAAAGCUUAUAGAAACAAAACAAAAUCUUCAAAAGCCAUUGCUAAAUGUUGAAACAGUCUAAAACUGGGCCGAACCACCUAAAAACCAACUUAGUCAAAACCAGACAAAACCAUUGAAAUCAGCAUAAAUUGCAAUUAGAAGCAUUUAUGUUUUAGCCACAUUAGUUAAAAUUUGAAACAUGAAAGAGGCUAGUUUCUAGUUAAAUGGCUGUAUAUUAAAGCCACGAACUCAAUGAAGUACUAUGUGAUCAUACUUAAAAGAGCAAAUUAAGGGUUUCACUUGCAGGGCAUCAUCAUAAGUAUGAAUGAUCUCAUCAAUAGGGGUUUCCUUUAGGAAUCAGACAUGAUUACUAAUUACUAAAAUCUAAAAAGAAAAAAAGACUCAAAUCAUUUGGCAAAGGGGAUUGACCAUCCAUCCAUAGCAUUGUAAAAGCAAAAAAUGGGCUUUGGUUCUAAAGUCAAAAAUUGACUCCAUAUCCUGCAGUUAAAAAGAACUUUGCUCGGAUACCCAGCUGAUCUAACCCAAAUAUAUAUAUAUCAGAAAAUGCACAACUUUCCGGUCUUGUCUAUCCAAUUUGCCGCAGCUAGCAAACUCAGCAUGCAGAUUGAUGUCACGUUUUUUGCAUAAAUGUUUCAGUACGAAAAGAAUUUUCGAGAUGCCCAGGCUCUGCCGGAUUGUUGUGAUUUCCCCAACAAAGGGGAUUUCAGAUUGUUGUAGCUGAGAUUCGGCGAGAAUUUGCAAAAGUUAAAUAAGCUUAUGGCACCGGCCCUAACAAUGCUGGGGAGAUGCGUGGCUUAGCUGUAGGCUAAAGUUUGAGUCUUUCUACGAAAGGGUUCGUGAGGCAGUGCAUCUCAUGGAAUUAUUAGCCGAAUAGCAUCAGGGGAAUCCAAAUGCCCUCGAAUUGAUCUCCCCUCUUUUCGCUCGAAAGGCAUCUCCGUAACCACGAUUGGAAAAAUAAACAAAUAAAAGAACAGAGGAUUCGGAAGUCGUUAUUCAUAAGUUAUAGAUAAAGAAAAAAGGAAAUAAAAAUAUUGCAGAGCGAAAAAAAAAAAAAGGAUGCCAAGCAAGCCGUGUUUGAGCUACCCGAAGCAGGAACAACCCAGCGACGAAGAAAAAGAGAUCUUUUAAAUGAAAGAGGAAAGAAAGGGAAGAGGGGAAUCGGGUGAGUAAAUUACUCUCCCAAAGGCAUUGAUAUCGUGGCGGUUUGCGAGGAGAUCGGCCACAUCCUUCCUGAGAAACUUGAGCAUCGCCUGCUUCUUCUUCCUUAUGGGAUCCAACCGCGAUUUGAUACGCUUCGUCGCAUGCUUGCUGAAACCAAACCCAAUUGCCAAACCCGAUUCAUUCUCCAUUCCCGUAUGUUUCCAACGCAGUAACAAAAUAACAAGAGAAGAGGAAGAGGAAAGCGGAGGAAGAAUAAUAUAAUAGAAGCACAGAUUACCAGUUGUUGGAGAACUUGGAACCCAGCAAGCCAUCAAACAUCUUCCUCCCCACUCUCUAAUCUAGCUCCCUCCAACGUAGAUUUUGAGCGGAAGAAUAGAAAGAAGAAAGGGCGGGAGAAGUGAAUUAGGGUGGUGGGGGGUGGAUUGGUGGCUUUCAUCAAAGAAGAGGAAAUAUGGAUAAUGGAUAAGAAGAAGAAGAAAAGCAGGAAGGAAGGAAGGCGGACGACGAAGGACGGGGAAAGCAGGAAGAUGUCGCGGUGGAGAUGAGCCGUAGGAGGCGAGCGGACAGGUUGGAAAAAAAAUAAAAUAUAGGACGACCAAUUUGUAGCUUUAUUAGGAUAAUAAAUUCUCUAUAUUUAUUAAUUAAUUAAUUAAAGAGCAAAGUGGGGUUUGAUUUAAUAAAUAAUAAUAAUAAUAAUAUAUAAUAUAUAUAUAUAUAUAUAUACAUCUAUGUUAAUUAAUUAAUUAAUUAAUUAAUUUUUAUUAUUUUAUUUUUAUUUUUAUUUUUAUUUUUAUUUUUAUUUUUAUAUGAAUCCUCAGUUUUUUUGGACAGGUGGCGGAGGAGGGGAGCUGGAGGGGCAGCCGGGUUGGGGCUGGGGUUGGGCUAGGCCUUUUUUUUUUUUUUUUGUUGACCAUUGUUGUUGUCCACUAAAUAGGACUAUAAAGAAAUUAUAUAGAUAUAGCUAGAGGGGGCAGCAGGGUUGGGCCAGGCUUUUUUAUUUUGUUUUCAACCAUUGUCAACUAAUUAGGACUAAAAAAAUUAUAUAUCUAUAUUUGUAAAUCUAAUCUAAUUUUACUCUCUUUCAUCAUAAAAAUUUAAAAUAUAUAAUUUUUUACAUAUAAUUUUUAAAUAGUAUAGAUUAUAUGUAUUAAACAUAAAUUUUAAUUUUAUAAUAUUGACCAUUUAGAUAUAAAUUGUACAAUAAAUAAUAAAAAAGAAAUUGAUAGAGUUUAAACGAAAAUCAUGCGAAGUAUAUUAACUAAAUUUGUAGGACUAAAUCUAAAGUACCAAUAGCUAUAUAACUUUUUAUUUACUCAAAUUUAAUAUGUAGAAAGAUUGAAUAGUAAAAACGAAAUUUGGAAAAAUUGGUUAGCUAUACUACAUUUCAUAGAAUAUAAUACGUACUCUAUAAAGGAAAAAAAAAUAAUAAUAGAUAAGCAACAAUCUUGAAAGUUUAAUAUAAUAUUUGUUUAAAUAAAAAGUUAUAUAGCUAUUGGUACUUUAGAUUUAGUAUCAUAAAAAUAUUUAAAGAUUUUUUUUUAAUCAACUAUAUUUAAAAAUUUUAGAUAAAGAUGAAUAUAAUAUUUAAUAUUAAUAUAUGUUAGAUAUUGAGACAAAUUGCAACAAAAGUAUAUAAAGAUAUACUCCAUAAAAAAUAUAAUCUAUUUUUAGUUGGGACUAUAGAAAAUAUAUAUAUAGUAAUUAUUAUACAUUAUAUAUACAGUAAUUAUAGGGCGUGUUUGGUACGUUUUUUUUUCACCCUGAAAUUGGAAUCGGAAUGGGCGAAUCCGUAACGAUCAAUUUUACAUUCAAAAAUUUUUAGAAUAUUCAAAAUAUGAUUGAUCGACUUUUAAUUUUAGUAAUUAAAUAUUUUAAAAUUUAUUAGAUAGUUUAACAUAUCGUAUGAAGUUUGGUAUUCAUUUGAAAUAGAAUUAAAGUAUAAAAAAAUAAUUCCACUUUUGGUUCCAAACUAUAAGUUACUGUAGCAACUGUUGUUUCUUUUUAAGUUUUUUUUUUAUAUUUUUUUUUAGCUACGUGGCACCAGACCUCCUUGCCCUUAUCCCCAUCGUCGCCUUGCCCUUAUCCCCGUCACCGCCAUACCUCAUCUUCAACAAUUGCGGCGCCGACGUAAAUGCGUUCACGUGAUGGUUGCCGAUUGCCGUCGCCGUGUACAAGUCCAGCCUUCCCUGCCCGUCCUUUCACUGUCGCGUUGAUUUGUACUUCGGCGUUAGCCUCACUGGCAUCAUCCACGUUGAUUUGUACUUCGGCGUCAUCCUCGACUCCGGCGGUAUGGGACACGUUGGAUCUGACCUGGAACUUUCGCGCGUGCUGCCUCCAUCUUGCCACUUUAAUUCUCCUAGCCGUUCGCCUAUUUAAAGCUGCUUGGAUUCCUCUCCCUAAUCACCUCUGCCUGAGAAAUCUCCUACACGUGUGUGUUCUCUGCAAACUCCCUCCUCUGUUUUUUUCCUCCUUUCUUCCUCUUCCCCUGCUAACUCCUUCCAUCUCCUUUGCUCCCAAUUUGUUGUAGGUUGCUUGACUGGCGUGUUCAUCCUGUUCGUUGCCCACUCACCAUCGGCGUUGCGUGUCACUCAACAUCAUCGUACGCUCAAUUCUGCCAGUAUGUGCCCAUGUCACUACAAAUAAGAUUUGUUCCAGCAGUUUUUCAGCCAGCAGUUAUGUUAACAGCUGCUAAAACUAUAUUAUACCAGCAUUUUUUUAUUUUUUUUGUUAUAUUUAGUAAAUCGUUGGUAUAGGGGUAAUAAUUUUUAAUGUAUAAACAAUAUUGGGUCUUAUUUUGUUAGCUUAUUUUAUCAAUUGGGUCAAUAAUUGGGCCAACAUUGGAUUUGAAAAGCCUUGCACCUAAAAUGCACCUAAAAUGCUCCUAGGGUUUCUCUCCUCCCCUUCUCCCCAGGUUAAAUCCCUUCCUCCUCCCUACACGCUCUAUCUCUCUCUCUCUAACCCUUCUUCGUCGCCAACUCUAGGUUAGGAAUGCGGCGGUGGACAUCAAUCGUGGCCUCACGGGCUCCGACGAGGGCCUUCGCUCCCUCGUCGCGUACGUCGCCCUCGCCCUCUCCCGCCUCCUCCGCCUCCUCCACGACCCGCCGGAGACCGCCGCCGCUGCCGAGGCCCUCGUCAACCUCUCCCAGGAUGCUGACCUCGCUGCCAAACUCGUCUACCUCAGCUCCGUCGCCACCGCCAUUGAUGUCCUCUACAAGUACCCCGACCACCCCGCCCUCGCCUGCGGUCUCGUCAUGCUCCUCACUAAUCUCACCCAAGUCGAAUCCGGCGUCGCCGCCCUCCUUCAGGUGCGAUCCUUGAUUCCUUCCUCUACCAAAAGCACCCAAUAGUAUAUUGGCUAUGGUUGGGGUGACCACUUGUUACUGUUGAGUUAAAUUCCUGUAUUAUUUUCUCUAUUUGAUAUUAGUGGGAUAGAAUUGUUUGCAAUGGUUGUAGUAAUUAUAGUAAGAGUAAGCAUUUUCGUGGAUAUGUUUUUUUAUGUUUACGAUGAGCGGAGAAUUGGGAGUGUGUAAGUUGAGUUGAAUAGUUGUCAUUGCUAAGUAGAUGAUGAAAUGUGCAAUUUUUAGCCCGUAAAUUGCACAUUCUUUUUUGUAAUUUUCAAAGUCACCACCUCAAAUACUUACUAAAACAGGAACAAAUUAUAAUCAGUUAUAUAUAAUUGUUUCUGUCGCACACGCCAUGCCGUGUAGAUGUAAUUCUAUUGAACUAAACUAAAUUCUAUCUGUAAACAGUGAUAGUAAUGCAUGGCAAUUGACAUAUGAGUUAUCAUAAGAUUGCUUCAUGAAUUUUGCGGAUGCAGCAAUGUAUCCUGUUCAUUGAAUUACAAAGUAAAAGUAAUUAAUUUUUUAUGCUUAAUAUGCUCAUUCAAUGUUCAAUUGUGCCUGUUUGUUCUAGCUGUUGUAGUGUGUGAGAAUUUGAUGCAUCUUGAACUAAAGAACUUGGUAUAUGCUGUUGAAUCCAAUAACUGAUCCUAUAACUUAAUACAAGUCCCUUUCUUAUGCUAACUGAUCCAAUAACUCAAUGGCGUACUUUUAUCUGAACUUCGCCAACUACAUGAACAUUGAUAAAGGUUGCUGCUGAGCUGAAUGUUUCUAGAAUUGUACUCUUUAUUUGUUAGAAUAUUUGUUUUGCCCUAUUCUUCUCCAAUCUCUGUCAAAAAAAUAUAUUAGUAAUUCUGAAUAUUCAUCUCUGACUGAAGUUAGCUAUUGACUGAAGUUAGAUAUUUUGAUUAUUAUUAUUACCAUCAUAAUUAUUAUUAUUAUUUGCUAUGUGUUCUUGAUUAUCUAAUUAUAUGUUUGCAGCAUUGAUUUGGUUGCUAUUUUGUCUGCGAUUUAGUUUGUGUGGUGAGUUUCUGAAUCAUUAAAUCUAAAUUAGAGACCUUGUGUGGUUGUUCUCUUGUUAGAUAGUUGUAUGAUUUGCUAGUCACUUUGAUUACUACAUUGGUAAUGAUUUAGAUGAAACUUGUGAACCAUGUCUAAAUUAGAGACCUUGAGCAUUAUUCUCUCAUAAUACAAUUAUGUGCUUGCUGCAUCACUUUGAUUACAAAUGUUUGCUCGUGUUUUAGUUGGUUAGGGAAUUUUUGUUCAGCAAUGAUUAAUACUAUGUUUCAUGAUCUUAUUCAUAUACAUAAUUAACAAUAUUUAGCUAUAACUGAUACUAUAUUUCAUGAUCUUCAUAUCAACAACUUGUGUUGAUUUUUGCUUGAAUUAUUUGGAUUUGUUGAUUGGUUAAAUCUCUAUAUAUGUUCAUGUAGAUAUGUUUCAUGAUGUUCAUAUCAACAACAAUAAAGUAAAAAGAUGCAUGCUUGUAAUUUUCUGACUUGAUGUAGUGAUUGGGUCAACAUUUUAUUUAACAGAUUGGAUCUUUUAAAUGGAACUGAUAAAAGACUUAAUGGAAUAUGUAAAUUGGAUAGACAUAAAAUUUGUUACCUGUAGUUUUGCAAAGAAGCUGUUUGUCUGAAACAUAUGCUUUGAAUCGUUAUAUUCUAAAUGCCUUCCUACAUAAACACACCCAGGGGGUGCUCAAUUGCCACUUUUGUGUUCUUCCUCUUGUUUCCUAUAGAAUCCCUGGUACUAGAAGUAGAGUGUUUGCACCCAGGGGUGCUCAAAUGAUAGCAUUUUUGUAUAUUUCCAAUUAAAUGUGGAAGUUAAUUAGUUGAAGAGACUUAGUUAGAUGCGGAAAUUAUAUAUAAUAAGACUAUCUCAUUAAUUAUUGAAUAAUUGAAGCAUCUACAUUCCUUGCAAUCUACAACCACUAAUUGUCUCCAAAAUAAUGUUCUAGAUAGUGUGAAAUGGAGAUUUGGAGAAGUCGCGUGUAAAGUGGAUUGAAAGAAACAUCUUAUUAUUUUUUUUUGGAAAUUUCCAUACAUGAAUUGAUUGUGAACAAAAAUUCUCCGAAUCAAGUUCGACAUUUUCCUUGUGAGAAAUGGCCAAUUCAAUGUGGUUUACGUGCUUCGGACUUUGUCUUAAUGGAUUGAGUUUCUAUUUUAUUUCUGGAGAAAAGAUUUGAGUUUUCUAUUCUAUUUUAUUAGCUGGAAAAAAAAGAGGAGGUCACAUUCGGAAAAAAGUAAAUAAAGAAAUAAAAAAGGGAAAUGACUACCAAAGCAAAAAUGGUUUUAUAUGCUAAUCACGAUGUGUGUUUGAACAACCAGUGCUAAUUGUAAUCCAUUUUGAAAUGGCCCCUCAACUUUAUUUUUUUUGAAGUAACUUCUUCUAAUUUUUUUUAUUUAUUUAUCUAAAAUUAAGUAAUAUUAGUUUGUAGAUAAAUUAGAAAAUUUUAAUCAAAUUUGUAGAUGAUUCUAUUAAGUUUUAUAUAACUACUUUUCGCCAAAUAAAAGUUGAAAAUUUUUAUAAUACUAUCCAGUACUAUUAAGUUUGCAGUGUCCCAACUUCCAGAAUGGUUGUUUUCUUUGUUCAGCUAAAUAUAUAACAAAUAGAUGGCAAAAAGUUGAUGAAUUUUUCUGCACAAGCCUUUUGAUGCUUGUUUGCCAAAUCAUUGUUUAUUUUGAUUAUGAGGUCUCUGAGCUUCAAGCUCACAGUGACUAUAAAGUUUUGGGCGUAAUUUUUUGUAUUGUAACCAUCCUUUCGCACGCACAAACAUGUAAAUGUAGGUGCGUAUAUUUGUAUGAAUUGCUUCACUAAGCCAUGCCAAUUUAAGAUAAAAUCUAUUUAUUCUCGACUUCGAAUUACCUUCCAAGCUCGAUAUAUAAAAUCUGAUCAGCAUAAGUAAUGACUCUUUUCCUUUGCAUGCUGGUCAUAUUUCAAUAAUUAAACACUAAACUGGAAUAUUAUUUGCAAACAUAGAAGGUUAAAUAUUACUUCUUUCUCAUAUGGUAUUCCUUAUGUGCUGCUGUGCUAUUUAUCAGGUGCUGCCAAUUAUCCAUCAUUUUGCCUUCUUCUAAAGCAACUUGUUGCCCCAUUACACACUCAGCUACUGGAUCGACGCUCUAGCAUCAUUAAACAGGUCGAUGUUUCGAGCUCAUUUACUGGCUAUUAUCUCUUAGUGCGAUACGCCAGGCUUCAUUUAUAUGAAACAUUCCAGUGGCAGUUGGUAGUUAAAUCAGGUUUAUUUACUGAUAAUUGAUCACUUCAUAAUAUCCUCUGCUGCUCAUGUAGUGUGAAACCUUUAAAACCUUUAUUAAGUUUGUCUUGUGUGCUGGGAAGAUAAUUGAAACCAAAGUUCGCAUGACCCAAGGACUAAGAUUAAAUACUCUGUUAUGCUAGAGAUGUUCAAAUCUGUGUUGUACUAGGCUGGUGUGUGAUACCCCAGAAAUACUUUGUUCAGCUGAUCUGUAUGAAGAUCUGAUUAAGUGCACUAUAGCAGAUGCCAUUAGUAAGGUAUGCACUUGUAAUUUUGUAAUCAUUGCAUGGGUGUAAGCAUGCAGAAAAUGAUUAAACGUAGCUAAGUUCAAAAUGAGCUUGUUUUGGAAUCAAAUUGAGCGAGAGCUUUUUUUGCUUGGAGUUCAAACCCAACUGCUCGCUAAAGGCUUAGGAAAUUAUCCAUAAGAAGUAAGAAAAGGAUAUGAAAGCACCUAGAGAACGAGAUCACUUACAUUGUUAUUAAUGUGAACUUUGAUCCCAUAUACCUUUUUUUUGUUUUUCUUUUUAUUGAGAACUUUGAUCCUAUAUCCUAUUUAAAUUCAUUGCACGUGUGGAAUAAUGUCGAUAUAACAUCAAAUAUUAUCUCAUUUACAUAAAUAUCAUUUUUCAUACAAAUAAUCACCAUAUCACUAUUGCUUGAUGUGUCACGGCCAUUUACUUGAUAAUUCUUCAUGUUUCCUUCAUAUAUUGCAUCACACAUGUUUAACUAGUAUGGUCUAUAUUUUUUUUUCUAACUAUCAUUAAUUACUAUAGAAAGCCUAUGAUAACAUAAUAUGUUCCUGCCUUUCAUUAUCUUUCUAUCCCCCUAAUCUCAUCAAGAUUAAAUGUCUUUUACACCACUGAAGGUGCGAUCAACUGCACGAGCUUGCUACAGGAUGUUUGCCAAAAUUUGGCCAGAGCGUUCCACUCGCCUUUUCUUGUCAUUUGACACUGUCAAACAAAAGGUACAUCACUCUCUUCUGAAGUGAAAUUGAUUUAUUUGGAUUUCAUAAUUUCACUAAUUUGAUUCCUUUUCAGAUAAUCAAUGAUGAAGAUGGUGAGAAGCACGAAAUAUGUGCUUCUCCAUUACUUAACAAACAAGCAAUUCAACUGCUGCAAACUCCAUCUCAUGCUCCUAACCUAAAUUCACCUACAUGUGCUACUUCUAAUGCACUUGCAAUGGACAAGAGCAUCGAUUUUGCUUCUUUAUCACAUACAAAGCUAUCAUCAAUCAGUGAUUUAGAAAAAAAUUACCAGUCUUCUCUCUGCUCGUAAAGAAAAUGGUCCACCAAUUGCAAUAUCAGUGAAAGCUGUAAAUGUAUCAGACAAGGAAAGGCCUCAUAUUUCAUACUCGAACAAUUCUGAUUAAGGUAUUAUCUUAUUGCUUUUGUGAAUUAUAGCUGGUAUGAACUAAUAGUAUUUACCAAAUUCAAACUUACGCAAUGUCAAAUUUAUUUCAUCCACUUCUCAUCUUCUUUUACUUUUCUUUACUAGCGCAGGAGUUGAUUACUUGUUUGCAAGUUUCUCUUUAUAGAAUUCAACAUUUUCUCAUGCAUCCACGGCUACUUUAAACAAGGAUGUUGUAAAUCAUGGCGAUCAAGAUUCAAAAAAUCUCAUCCCUCUGGUCCACUCGGCGAAAGAUUCUACAAAAUCACCUAACGCCGGUCAGUUAUCAUCAGAUUCCGUGUCAGCCUCUUCAUUGCCUUGCACUUCAAAAAGUUCAGAAAAGUCUCAAAAUGGAGGUGUCAUUGAAUUCACUAAUGAUAUUAGAUCAAGUAAGCAACUUUCUCAUCAAAUUGACGGUAAUUUUAUCCCCAAUUUUCGCCGACCGCUUCUAAAACAAGUCAAUAACUUGCUUCUGGUGACCUGCGUAAAUAGUUUUGAUGAUAGUGAGCUUUUACUGGGUCAAAUGGCUAGCUAUAUCGAUGCUCCAUCAUCUCUUAAUGAUUCUCUAGUUGAGGGCCUAAAGCCAAGUUCAGGUUGGAUUAUGAGAAUUUUCGCAUUCAAUUAUGUCCAUUCAUUGUUGCAGCAAGGACCCAAAGGAAUUCAAAAAAUUACCCGAAGUUUUGACAAGAUCAUGAAGCUCUUUUGCCGGUAUUUGGAUGAUCCUCAUCAUAAAGUAGCACAAGCUGCUUUCUCAACACUAUUGGAGAUGAUCCCGAGUUUUAAAAAGCCUUUUGAGACUUAUCUUGACAGGACUUUACCAUUUAGUUAGAUUCCUAAAUUCUUCUAUAGUAGCAAGCUUGUUGAGUAGCAGGUCCUUUAAUGGAUGAAAUUCAAUUUUCGAUGCUUCCAUUUUUUGCUAUAUGUUACUUACGAUGGAGCUUAUAUGUUUUGAUGUUUGUGUAGUUUAUAUGUUUCAAUUUCUUUUGUUUCAGAUUGAAGCAACAAGCGGGAUUUGAUGUUUUGCAUUUCAAGAACGUUCAGCUGGAGCUUUUCACUCUCCAUUUUCUUAGCUUUCUAACAUUUCGAGUUCAAAUAAAUUUUCUUUUGCAUUGAUUUCUAUUAGAACAUAAAAAAUUGUUUCGCUGCAUUUUGUCAUUGCUACAGAUCAUGAUUUUACCAUCUUGUAGUUUUGUUACAAACAUUUUUACUAGUUUUGUUAUAGAUUUCUCUAUUGCAAUUUAGUAAUGUAACUCUCGUUUUUUUGGAUAUUACAAAUAGUUAAUUUUCCAGCAAAUAUCAAAUGAAAAAGACCUAUUGAAAUUUGUUGAUAUUAGUUUGUUUUUUUUUUUCAUAUUAGUUUUAAAUUGCCAACGGUCAAAAACUGUCGCUACAUAUACUUUACACCAGCGGUUUUUUUUGUAGAAGUACCGACGGUUUAUAAAAUGUUGCUAGAGAUUAUCUUCUCCAAUGGUUAAUAAAAGUGUUGGGAAAGGACAAUACCGGCAAGGAUAUAGUAACGAUCAUUUAUACUUUUACCAACACUUUUAGAACUGCUGGAGCAAAUAUUACUAGUGGUUUUUAUAAUCUUUUCCAGCAGUUUUGGCUGCUGGUGUACACCUAUAUUGUUGUAGUGUGUGUGUGUUUAUUUUUCUAUUUUCCAUUGGUCUAGAGAUAUGCUUACAAUGGUGAAAUGUCAGUUGUCUCCUUCUCCAAUUCUUUUUUUCUUUUUGGCCUUUCCUGGAUUAUGCAUCUAUGCAUGUAUGUUUACUAUACUGUUUGUGCAAGAAGAUUGCUGCAUAAAUGCGAAAAUCUAUUUGGGAUAGAUAAAAAAAUUAAUGAAAAAUAAAGACAAUAAGAAAAAGGGAAAAAAAAAACCUCCUCACUUCUAAAACAAAAAAAAAGAAAUAAAAAAACACCUAAAAAUAAAGGGGAAAAAAGUCAUGUCCUAUCAACAUGAGAUAUUUAUUUAUAUAUUUAUUUUACAAUAUGACAAUCCAUGCUAAGGCUAAUUGGAAUUGUUGUCAUCGAUAUUAGCUUUCGUAGACUGCUCCGCAUUAUAUGCGCAAAGUUUUCUCUACCUCCACCGAAGUAUGGAGUGGGUUUAGAUGCUACAGGCCGGUUUCGAGCUUUUGUAGAUGUCACGGUACCUAGGGUUGGCCCAAUGCUGGAGAUGCUUACAUACUGGGGUACGCCAUCUACAAACAUUGGACAGACCCAGGAGGAUGCUGCUAGGACUCCUGUCGAGAGGCUUCGUGAUGAAUUGCAUUUUGAGAUCAAGGAUAGCAACUAUGAAGAACGGCAGUUUUAUGAGAACUUAUAUGACCAGAUUGCUAGCGAGUACGAUACACUGUAGGAUCAACAUGAAUUGCUUAAGGUGGACUACGGUGUUUUGAAAGGCCAAUAUAAUUCGCUGGUGGACGAAAAUGCAAGGUUUGUUACUAAGUGGAAAGAAGUGAAGGUAGCGAUUGGCAAGUGUGAUGCAUGGUUAAUAGUUCCAAUGUUGUUCCAGUAGACGAGGGCCUUGCAACAUUGAAUACUGAGCUGCCAGCAGUGCCUUCUACUGAGGAUGCGGUGCCGGGUAGUGGUGUAGAGCAUGCAACACCAACUGAGGAGGACCCCGCAACGCCUUCUAGUUAUAGGGAUUGAGUUUUGUACUCUUUUCCCUCUAGUUAUCUAUGUUUUGCUUCUUAGGGAGGGAGGCCGGUUGAGUUUUGGGUUUAUUGUUGUUUCUCCCGGCCUAUUAGCUUUAGUGAAAAACUUGAGGGUUGUGCGGAUUUUCUUUUGUUAUGAUGAGAUUUGCGCUCCCUCUUCUUUUGGUGUAAUCUUUAGUAUGCUGUAUAAAGAAAAAACAAGUUUCUUUUUGUCUAGCUAUUGUCCUUGAUAUUAUAUUUUCUACCCAGAAUUUCGAUGCUCUAAAAAAUUUAUAGGUAAGCAAAAUAGAGGAAUCAUAAGAAAUUAGUUAAUUGGAAAGCAUUUGUGGCAACAAAAAUGACAUUAACUAGAUUGGCAAAUCAGCAACUGCAGAUUUAAGUAGAAGAACUUCUCUACUUUACAAAUCUGAAACAAAAUUCAAAUCAUUUCUUUGCCUACUUAUGGAACCAGUCCUAAGUAGAGAGGAGUGGUAGAAUAUUAUCAAAAUGCCACUAGAUUAGGUUCAAAUGAAUAAGUUAUAAUCAAUGCUGAAAUAUACAUUAGACAUAAUUGAGGAGUUCGAAGUAUUCGAUGAAUUUAAACCCAACUUAAAUAAAAAAAUAUUCUCAAUGCAGCUCCAAGGAGUGGAAAUUUCAGCAAGAUCGGUAGGUAUGAACUCUAAAAACUCUAAAAACUCUAAAACAAGUAAUCAAACAUGCUCGAAUAGUUGAAACUGGUACUUCUCUAAAAUCUGCCAGCAUUUAACAAAUUCUAGAUUUAAGCAAAAUUAAUACUACCUACCUUACUAUCCAGCUAGAAAAAGGUUUCCCCAGAUUUGUCAGCUCACAAUGAAACAAGAAAAACAAAGAAGCUGCCACUCUACUCGAAGAUGAAGUUGAAAUAAAAUUUAGAAUCAAAUUCUAACAAACACUCAUUUCGGAUACAAAAUCCACUAGAAACAUCAAGUCAGCUUAACUAACCUAUCCACCAAGCUAGAAGCAAUUCCAAAAUGACUAGGAAUGAAGGAAGAACCAGCCAAAAUUUACUCCUAAAGUUCAGCUACAAGAAUGGACUAAAAACAUUAACCAAAUCCACAAACACACAACUUCAGCUCCCUCAAUUAAACACCAACUCACAUGAAAUUUAGCUGAAAGAAUUGAUCCCGUAACUCCUCUUUAUCAGAUAAUCAACAAGCACAUCCCAAUUUGAUAAUUAAAAGCUCCUAUGUCACCUAAUUUUGUUUGCAGCACACACCUUGACUGUUCCUGCUGCAGAAUCUACUGCUGCUGGCUGCAGCUCAACUUGCUGCUACUGCCGAUUGCUGUCCACUGCAACUGAUUGCUGUCUUGCUGCUGCUGGCAUCAGGUAGUGUUGCUGAAAUUGCUUGAAUGCUGGCAGCCAGCAAGGAGAAAAAUAGGAAAAGGGAGAGAAGAAGAGAAAAAUAGAGGAGGAAAGAAAAGAAGGCAAUGAGGAGAAAGAAGAAGAAAUGAAAGGAAGGGAGAGUGUACCAGCUAACUACUACCAGCCAAAAACUCCAAUUAGUUAUUAGAUAAAUACAGCAAACAAUAUGUCAGAAUGAUUAUUACCAGCCAAAAACUCCACUUAGUUGGUAGGUAAAGCAAACAAUAUAUCAAAAUAGUGUCAUAUAGUUCGGCAAAUUAUAUUGCAGUCUACAUGCUCUCCAAUGAACACUCUGGAACCCCAAUUCGCAACGGGCACGAAAAUGAGCAAUACAAGAGUAGCAUACCAUAAAUUAAAACUUGAAUUAUGAUUGCACAUAUUAAUUCGGGCCAUCAGUUUUAUAAUAACACAAGUAACAUCUUGCUAACUAUAAGAUAUUAAGUAUAUUUAGGAAAAGAUAAUAGGGAGUUAUGGAAAUGUUCGUCGACCAAAAUUACAAGACAAUAAUUCAUAGGCAAAAAGAAAAAAAAAAGAAGAAGAAUAAACUGAUUGUGAUAUUGCCCUUCAUUUAUUUUUUUUUAAAAGGUAAUAAUAUAGUAAAUUAGAAAUUUAAAUAAGCCAAAGAACACAAAUAGGUAAACAAACACAAGAUCCAACCUUAGAAGCUGAAAAAUAAACUAAGGUGCUAAGAAUGUUUCAUAAACAGGUUACAUAGCUUCUUAAGACAAUACAAGGGUAUACAGAUCUUUACUUAUUAAAUACUUGAAUAUUGCUUAAAUGUACAUCAGAAUCUGAAGAAAAAUUUGAUGCAAAAAUAUGGAGAAUUUAUCUGCAAAAAGAAGAGUAUAGGCUCCAGCAAAUCCUAUUUUCCAUAUAUUAUUUGGUAAAAAUAUAUUGAAUUUAUCUAAAUUAUGACUCAUUCUGAUUCGUAUAAUUUUAUUUUAAAAAAAUUAAUUUUGCAACUUUACCUUUUGACUUAUUUCAUUUGACUUAUUUAGUAACUCUUAUAUUCCAAAAUUUGAAGGAGUUGUUUACAUCUAUGAGCUUAAUUAACACAUUUCGCAUAAUUUAUAUGACUACAAAUCAACAGAUUGAGUAUAAUUGAUAGAUUGAGUGUUAAAAUUUAAAUUUUAAAAGAUUGGGUCGUUGGUGAAAAUUGGCUUCGAAAUUUACACAAGUUGUCGAAAUUCAUGCUGCCAGAUGCAUUUGAUCUUACUCAGGGCAUUUCUAUGAAAUGCAGAAUUGUUUCUAAUGAGGAGAAAGCAGCUAUUUCUUUCUCUGCUUUUCUGCUUUGCCUAUCAAUUGUUUUGUUAUCCAUAUGUUUAUUUUACUACUUUUUAGGAAAUAUUUUCUUACUUGGACGGAGGAUUCAGGAUCGGUAGUGUGAUGACCUUAUCCAGCCAGAUGUGAUUUUGGAAAAGUUGAUGAAAAUUGAGGCAAAUAGAUUUAAAUUUGGUUGUGUAAUGAAAUUGCUACUUUACCCAACUGUUAAAAGGUUGAUAGCUAAGAAGAUGUUAAUUUAACGUAGAAGAUGCUCUACUAUCUUUCCUUCCAUCAUGAUGCCCUUAUCCCUAAUAUUAUACAUUUUAGACUAUGCUGUCAAAAUUGCUCUAGUUUUUAGUGUUAUAUUUUCUUCUUCGACUGUAAAUUCAUCUUAUAUUCCUUUUGGGAAAAUAUAAACGAAUGUAUUAUCAGUUCCGUGGAAGUGAUGUCAAUUGUGUUUCCUUUCUCUUUAUACACUUUCCUUCGUUGCUUUUGAGGAUUGAAAGAAGAACCCCACUGAUGAGAUUUGUUGAAAAAAAUUUUGAGAAUCCCGAUAUGCCAAAUUUAUUAGCACCUCAUCUAUCACAUUUCAAUGAUUCAUUUGCAGUGUUUAAUGUUGUGUUGUUAUUUUAACUGUUUGCAUCAAACAAUUUAUGUUACGCCCCGAGCCCGCCUCUUUGGUCGGAUUCGGGCACGCCGACAGACUGCCGAACGGACAGAGUCUCCCCUGUACGUACAAGGCAUCGCAAUCAAUACAGUACAAGAGGUUCCAACUAGGAACAAUAUUCAAGCAGAGAUUGCAUAAGGAAGUAUCAAAAACAUAGACAACUAGCUAUUACAAGCAUUCGUCUCAAUUUAACAUUUAGAUUACAAAUUACAUUGCUUUAACUAAAUUCUUACUCCCAAAUUGUAAGGACCAAGAUUUUGGUAGUGUAGCUAAACUCUCAGUUGACGAUAUUUUUGUGUGUAAUUUAAUUACAAAAGCACUCGUCGAGUUUCAGGAGAAACCGAGUUAAAUCGGAGAUUCUACGCGAUUUCCAAGUUUCACUUAAAGUGAAUAGUAACUCGAUUUUCUGGAGAAGCCACGGUGUGAAGUUGGCUUCUGGCGCGUAUCGGACUCCGUUCAUAGCAGUCCAAUAGCUCGUUUCGAACGGUUUGGUCAUUCUAGAACCGAUGGCGCUAACGGAUUUUGAGUUUGAGGUACGAAUUUCGAGAAAAUUCGAAAAUACAUGUUUUAUAUGUAUUUGUGCGUAGUUUCUUUUGUUGGAAUGAUGGACUGAGUUCGUCGCGAAUCCGAGACCGAUCAAGGAGAAACGAAAUCGUAGCUUUGUGGUCUCCGUCGUGUUGAUCGCACUGGUGCAAUCCGUUCGCAAAUCGGACGGACGGAUCUGCGGAGAUCGCGCGUUGAUCGAGAAAAGGUCGGUGUUGGCAAAACGGUAAUUUCGCAAAAGUUGCGACAUUUUAUGUACCGUUUUACGCGAGAUCGCACGUGGAGGGGUAUUCUCGCGUUGUUCACACGCUGUGAGGGAUUUAGUUUGAAAUACUGAGGUUUCGUGGGCUAACUUGCAAAUCGGCACCUUGGUAUAUAUAGAGCUUUUAGGGUUUCUUCCACCUAACCCUAGACCUUAGCCACGCCCUCAGCCACUUCUUCUAUCUUCCCUGCCCUAGCCGCACUUCUCCCGGUCGCCGCCGACCGAGCCCCGGCCGGCCAACAGCAACCGCAGCCUCCUCAGCCACCUUUUUCUCUUCCCUCUUCAUCCCUCUCCCUCUAUCUUUCUUCCUCUCGGGUUGCGGACAGAUCUGAGGCUGCAGUCAUCUCCCUGCACCAUUCCGGUGUCGCCCCUGUGCCCUGGCAAGCCUCCCCGCCGACCGCCGUCACCUCUGGGCAUCGCUACUGCUGCUGCUGCAUCCUGCGCCCAGCUUGGCCGAGCCCAGGCAAAGCUGACCGUGCGGCCUUCCCCUCGCGUCGCCGCCACCCCGGGCCAACCUUGAGGCAUCUCCUCCACCUCGGGCAGUCGGCCGCCGUCACCCUGAGCCGCCCGGAGCGCCGCUGCAGCCGCACCAACCGCCUGCUGCCUUCUAGACUGAGCCCAGGCCGAGGUAGGUCUGCGACCUCUUCCCCGCGCCGCCACCACCUUGGGCCACCCUGUGGCACCCCCUCCGACCUCAGGUGGUCGGUCACCGCCGCCCUGAGCCGUCCCGAGCGCCGCCACCGCACUAGAGUCGCCCUGCGGGUUUUCUGGCAAGCUCGAUCCGAGCCGAGCUUGCGGCUCCAUCCUCGCAUCGCUGCUGCCCGGAGCCACUUCCUCGGCUUCCCUCUGGCCUCCUGCAACCCUCUGCCGCCGUCCUUGAGCGCCACGGUCACUGACGUGGCCACAGUUGUACUUGGAGCCCGAACCGGAUCUUGUGCGGGCUCGGUUUGCUCCGCCGUCACCGCCGCCGCUCCUCGCCGCCAACUGUGGUGAGCACCACACUCCUCACCUCCCCCGCACCCAUCGCUGACCCUCGCGCACCUCGCGGCGCCGCCAGAAGCCGGCCGGAGCAAGCUUGCUCCGGCCAAGCCCGAAAUAGGGCUUAGUUGGGUAGGUUUGCGGUUCCGAGCUACCCGAGGCUCCCCGACCUCUGCGGAAGGGAGCACGGUGAUCGUGGCAACUUUCUAAUCAUCGUGCUCACCUUAGAUUCUGUCGGGGAGACUCCGUUCUGCUGUUUCGGCGGUGUCGACCCUGUUGAGCCUUUUCGGCUGCUGUUCCGUGUUUGUGCACGUUUUUUCGGCGAUCCGAGGCUGUUCCAAUGCCUUCGGAGGUAAGCACAGUGAUCCUUGGUCAGUGCUGAUCACAGUGCUCACCUUACUUUGGAUCAGCGGAUGUCGUAUCGGCCUGUUCGGCGCGAUUUUCCCCGACUGCACGCUGUUCGCUAAACCAUCGGGUACCUAUCGGUAGGGCGAGAGAGUUUUGGUCAGGACGGUAGUUCAAGCUUAGACCCGAGUACGUGGAAUGUCACGUGUUAGAAUGCGAGACCGAUGAUGCACCGAGUGUGUAGUGACCCAACCCAAGGAUUUGAUAUGGAUUGAGGUCUUGAUAGCUCCUGGUUGGAGUGUGUGCGAAUUCUCCAAUGAGAAUGUCGCCCGAGAAUGUUGAUUGAGUCUGCGCUUGCGAGCGAGAGAUGCUAGGCAUCGUUGAGACGAGCUAAGUGAUUGACCUACGCAGGAUUGGUGGCCUUAGUUCGCCUGAGGAAACCGACGGUCGGUAUAGCUGAAAACUCUAAUAGUGAGUUGGGCUUUGAUCCGCGAACGAAGAGUUCGUGUGGAGGUGAACGUAGCCUAAAAUGUCAAGGGAUAAAGAGAAAGUAAAGUGGUCUCUAGGAGACACUUGAAUAAUGGAUAACCACGCGAAAAGUUGGCGUUGAGAAUGAUACUCUCAAGAGGAUUGAGAAUCCAAGAUGCACGAGAGAAUGCCAUCUCACGAUAGAUGGGAAUGAGAUGGUACAGAUAAGAUGAUAAGGUGGUAUCGGGCUCCUAAAUAGCCAACGUGAUGAAGUGCCACCGAGUGGUUACUUGAGUAAUUCGAGAAAGUCUACCCAUGCAUAUAGAGUUGUGGUGGUAGAUCAUUCAUCGAAGUGAUGCGAUCUUGCUGGAUCCACACCACCGGGAUGAAAGGGUAGCCCUGAUCUCGAACGGUGAUGAUGUUCGCUAGAACCGCGAGGGAAUAGGUCCUUCUUCAGCCGAGUGGCUAGUGAAGAUAGUGUGUGUGGGGUCUUGAAUAUUGACCCACACCGCCAGUGAGGUUUGUAAAGUGAUAAUGCACUUUUGAUGUUGCAAGAGGAAAAUGUGAGUAAACGUGGUCUCACGUUCUUCGUAGUGGGCCUUUAAAUGAGUUCGAUGAGAAUAAAGGCCACUCCGAAGUACAAAAGUGCAUUAGAACCCUUGAGAACUCGAGGAGUGGAUCGAGGAAUAAAGAGGGUAAGAACGAGUGAGUUUCGAGGACAAAACUCUUUUAAGGAGGGGAGAAUGUAACAAUGUGAACUCUCGAAAUCCGAGGGUUGCGCCUCGACUAGAAUUGACUAAGGGUCGAAUGGAUAAGCUUUGGAAAAGCUAAGGAUGCACGAAAUCCGAGAAGUGCAUUGGAAUGGGGUCCGCGAGAGCAAACAAUGCAAUCUGCAUUUUUGGGCUAAGAUUGCUCUCGGGGACCGAUCUCUGGAGGUGAGAGACCAGUCCCAUCAACUGAAGGCUGCGGGGGUUGCUGAUGCAACCGGUCCCUGGCAGAGGAGGGACCGGUCCCAGCCUACGACACCAGUGAGAAGAGAGCCGAAGAUCGGCUAAGUCCCAAGAGUUUAGCUCUCGGGAACCGGUCUCUCUGAGAGGAACCGGUCUCCCGAGGACCGGUCCUCAGGGAGGGACCGGUUCCCGAACGCGUGUCCGCGGGGGGAGGCCCCGGGGACCAGUCCCUGGUCGGGGAGAUCGGUCCCUCAGCGCGCAGAACGCCCAGUGAGGGCUGUGUAAGAGAUGAAAAGUGGAGGGGCUUAUGUGCAAAAUGGCCAUAUGAGGGGUUAUUUGAGAGAUGCCUUUCUCUCUCUCUCUGUCUCACUCCCUCACACUCUACCUCACAGUCUCUCUCUCUCUCUCUCUCCGUUCGUAGCAGAGGAAAAAGGAAAAGAAAGAAGAGAAAGAGAAGAGAAGAAGAAAAAGAGAAAGGAAAGGAAAAGAAGAAGAGGACCAAGGAGGAGAUCCUCUUCCUCAUCUUCAUCUUCAUCUUCUUCUCUCCAUGGAGCUCUUUGAGAGGUAACCUUGGAGCCCUCUUAUGGUAAAUCCUUAAAGAUAGGGUUUUGAUCUCUAGAAAUGGUAUUUUUGGUACCCUAGCAUGCCUCUAAGAUGGAUUUACCCCAAAUCCUAGAUUGAUUUGGUGGAUUUGUUGGUAAUGGCAUCUAGGGCACCCAAAAUAGGGUUUUUGUAAAUAGAUGAGUUUGAUCUCAUUUGACCCUUCGUAAACCUAAUUGGUAGGUAACGAAACACAUUGGCGAAGUCGGUUCGGCAAUCCGACAAGCCGUUGCGAAGAUAUUGAAGAAACGGGCGCUCAGAGCUUCGUUUCCGCCUGGGAGGCCGAGGCGACGUCCAUAAAUCGUGAAAUAGGGUCCCGAGCACCGUAGCGGCAAGGCGAAGAUCGCUAGCACUUGAAACGGCGAAGCGGCGAGCUCGAGGGGAGCAACUGUGAGAUCGGGCCCAAACGGGUGCCGAGUGCCGCGGGAGGCCGAUUGCAAGUGUCGACGAGCAAUCAGAACUCGUGUUAAGGUGGGUUGUGCUUACAGAAGCGACUAGGUCGCCCUUUAUGUCUUAGCAAUGUAUCUCCAUGUUGAUGCAUGUGCAUGUAGACGAGGACAAGAAAUGCAUGAUGAAUGAUAAUGCAUAAAGUAAAGGCUAAGUAGAGAAUGCAUAAUAAAUAGCAAGCAUGAUAGCAUGACAUGUAAAUAAUGCUAGCUAAGGUAAAGGAUGCACACUAAUAGUAAUGCAUGGAUGGAAAUGCUAAAUUGAAUGCAUGAUGAACAAAGAUGCAUAGAGUAAAUGCCAAGUAGAAAGCAUAAGUUAAUAACUCUAGUGUGAGUAGAGUUGAUUGGACAACUAGGUUGUCAGGUAGAUCGAGUGGCACCUAACCUAGUGUUAAAGAACAUAGGUUAAACAAGUGAACCUAGAGUCGAACAAUCUAGGUGUGUGGCAUCGAACCUAGUGUUAGUAAACCUAGGUCGAACUAGUAAACCUAGAAGUGGACAACUAGGCCAAGAUGACAAAGACCUAGCAAGUGUAUCUAGGUUAAGUGACGUGGACAUAGAACCUAGAGUCUUGGAACCUAGGUUGAUGAGUAUAGUGGUAUAGCCACUAGGAUGAGUUAGGUCGAUGAUAUAGGGUUUGUUAUGAACCCUCAACCUAUGGAAAGUGGAUUUCGGGAUCCCAGGACUUUUGAUGUCCCUAGUACAAGCUAGGGCGUGUGUGCAACGACUUCGCCACCGAGCUUGGUACUGUGGGUAGAUUGGGCGUGACCACGUGGAGAUCACCGCCCGGGGCUUGAACCAUUGCCGUGGUGUUUGUGCGACGAUUUCGCCGCCAGGAUGGUUAAGCCAUUUGAGGAUCAGACCGCCAGAGCAGACUGAAUCCAUGCUGGGUAAGUACGAUGCGGGUGCCUCCAGGUGGCUAAGUCUGACAUGUACCGUUGUUGGGUGUGGUGCGACCCGUUCGCCGCCAGACGGUGUGUCAGAACCCAAGCUCACGCUGGGUAAGUGCAACGCGAUCGCCACCAGGUGGUCAAGUCGUGCGACUUGAGCCGAGCUUAGCGUGUGCGACGACUUCGCCGCUAGUGGGCUGAGAGCGGUAGGCUGAUGAGCAGCCGGUGCGCGGGCUAUCCGCGGAUGAUUGACUCGAAGCCGAGUCGGGUGGUUAGCUUCGAUAAGGUAGAGGAACCCUUAUGAGCUAGAGAUAGAGGCUUGAGCUAAGGUGAUAAAGACCUUAGGAGCCAGGGGACUCGAGUGUGAAUCUAAGGUAGUAGAACCUUAGAGUAAAGAUAUGAGCUAAGAGUAGCCAAGUAAAUGUAGAAUCUAAUGAUCUACUAGUUGUUGCAUAGAGUUGCAUGAUUUUCAUAUCGCAUAUCGUGAGGCAUGGCAUGUAUUUCAAUUGAAUAUAUAUCUGUUGUAUAUUGUUGAACUAACAUGUUGCAGUGCCUCCUCGGACCUAUCGGUCGAGCUUUUCCCUUGGGUAGCCGUACCUAUUGGGAACCAUGGAGUUGGUUCUCACCCCACGUGAUUUUGGGGUGUUUUCAGGUUGUACGUGUGCAGCGCGGUGGCGCGAGGCGAGGGCGUAGCUCAGUAGAUAGCGCCCUACCACAGAGACCAAGGUAGCAGUACCAUGAGGCAGUCUAGCUUAGGGGACUAGAAAACUAGAAUCAAGAUGUAUCAACUUGUAAAUUAAAUGAUGUAAUAAUUAGAUUGUAAUUUGGAAGUAAAAUGUAACUGAGUUGUAUUAAGUGAAUGCGAUUGAAUGCUUGUAAUAGCUAUUAGUUUUAUGUAUUUGAUACUUCCUUAUACAAUCUGGAUUGAUAUCCGUUCCUAGUUGGAACACUCAUUGUAUUGUUUGGAUUGCGACGCCUCGAACGUACAGGGGAGACUCUGUCCGCGUACAGGGGAAACCCCAGUCCGUUUGGCGGUCUGUUAGCGGCGCCGCGACCCGGUCCAAAUUGGCGGCUGGUCGCGGGACGUGAUAGUUACAGUGAAUGUUGCACUACUAUUACGACCGUAUUGCACUCUUACAAGUUUAGUUGUACUCUUUUAUCCCGCGUUGGACUAUUUUUCGGUUUUUACGGAUUUGUUUUUACUAUUAAUUACAUGUUAUCAUCGAUUAGGGAGAGAAUUUUACACUGCUUAAUAACUCGUUGCAGAAUUAAUGUUAGGCAAAUAUUACACCAUUAAUAGCGACUUGUUCCAGCUAGUGUUCCACCCGUUAUGCUACACUGGUUGGAACUGCAUUGCACUGUUACGAUGAGUGUUGCACUAUUAGUAAGAAGCGCAGUGCACUCUUACAAGCUUGCUUGCACUCUUUUACCCCGCGUUGUACUAUUAUUCGCGUUUUACAUUGCACUAUUAUUUAACUGCUCUAAGCAGAAAGUAAGCUUUUUUAAGAGAUGUUGCAUGAUAUUCCUUAAUCAUUUAGGUGUUAUGUUGCACCUCCCGAACGCCGCCCCCGCCACUGCCAAGUGACUGGGGACGCGAUAUACGACCACCCUCCUGCCCCCGUCGCCGUGCAUUUGGAGGGGACGUCGUUCGUCACCGUAGAAAAAUUUAUGGACUUAUUUGUCAUAUUGUCUUCAGAUUAUAUCUUCAAAUACAGAGAACGAUCAGUAUUUUAUUUUAUUUAUUGCACAAAUUCGGGGAAUGUUACACCACGUCGAGCAUUUUGUUGAACUAGUUCCUUCGAGCCUUUUGUAGAACUAGUACCUUAUGGGGGAGUGGGCAGAAGCGGUGGUGAGGGAGAAGAUUGAACGCCAACGUUGGUCAUCUGAGCGGCGGAGAUUGCAUUAGUGCGAGUCGAAGGAUGCACUAUUAGAAGGACUGUUGCACCAUUUCUCCUCGCGUUGCUCCGGGGUGUUGCACUAUUAUCCCUGUUACGGGCCACGUAAUUCUUGUCUUUUAGCUUCGAAAAAUUUAUUUUCUUAAAGCCGAACAGCAAACAGCUAGGCUGGCGAAUAGCGGGGCGGAUUUGGUUUGGGUACCGAAAAUGAGAGAGGUUGCGUAAAGCGCAAGGGGCGCAUUUAAUGCCCGUCAAGACCGUAUGUCAGGGUACACGUAUCUCAGAGAAUAUGCGAGCGGCGGAUGUAGAUGAGGGGCAUUUUGGUCAGGCGGCUGAAAAUCCGACCCGAAAUUGUAAAAUCGAAAAAGGUGGCCCACUUUUGCAAAAGUGCAAAACUAGUGGAAUUUUUAUGCAAAUUGGCCUAUUUUUAUUGGGAAAAGUCUACCUGUACUCCUAUAGGAAGGUGUAUAUCCUACACCCGUAUGAUCCAACGGNUCUCCUCUCUCUCUCAGUCGCUCGCUCGCUCACCUCUCUCUCUUUAGCUCGCUGCCUCGCUCGCCCGCCUCUCUCUCUCACGCUACCGCGCUCGCCUCUCUCUCUCUUUAGCACGCUGGCGCCAAAAUUUAGGGCAAAAGAGGGAAAACGUGAGGGGAUAAAAUGUGGGAGUGAGGUUAACACUGAUUUUUUUUUGUUUUCAAACUAAGUUUAUAUCAGCCGUUAGAUCAAGGAGUUGUAGGAUCUACAACUCUAAAUGGGGUGUAUGGGUAGCACGACUCUUUUUAUUGUUUAUCAUUUCAAGUACCAAAGUGUAGGCGUGUGGGAUAACCAAUGGGCAAGGACUUGUUAGAUAGAUUUCUUUUUACGAAUACUUAGUUUUUCUUUUUUAUGUUAAAUUGAAUGGAAUGAUUGUUAUCCCUAUUCAUUAUAUUUGGACAAUUAAUAAUUAUUACUCAAUUCUAUUUUAAUUAAUAAACUUUUUAAUGUAGUACCAAAUAGGGAAUGUGGCUUUGAUUCUAUUUAAGUUCUUUUAUUUUUGGGGCUUUUUUUUCGGAUUCAUAGUCAAUUGUUGCAGUUCAGUUCAGAUCCAAAUAUUCGGAUCCAAAACGUGACAUGGACGUUAUCGGGUUUUGGAGCGUGGAUAUAUAGAGAAUUUUGACAGCUCUCUUCACGUUCGAGAAGUGACAAGUGAAAUAAGACAAAACUCUUGGAAGAUACAAAAGUAUUAAAAAUUAGAAUGAUCCAAGAAAACUUGUAAGACAAACAACCUAAUCCGAUUCUUGAAUACGGUGGCUAUAUAUUCAGUUUCUUAGUUUCUGAUGCCCACUCUUUCUAACACACAUUUUGCCUAUUCCCAUACAAAAAAUUGGGAUAGACAAAACUUUUUUUUGUACAAUAUGAUUGCCAAGUUCAAAUAUUGUAAAAGACAAAGUGUUCAAUUAUAUAAAAAAUAUAUAAAAAAAAUCUUUUUAAUAGUCUAGAAGAAUCAAGACUACAGGUUUACAUUUUUAUUUUAAAGUCUUUUAGCUAGUUUGAAUUUCAAAAAUCAUUGUCACUGCCGCAUCUACAAGUUGUGAGUGUAAAGGCUAGAGUAAUAAGUUUCUUCAAACAUUAUAACGAGGCCAAAUUGCGAAAACAAUCCACUACAAAGUAAUUUAGGACAGAUCUCUUAACAAUAUUGUUGGUCGAAAAUCAUAAGAAGAUAAUCGCUAUCGUUCAGCUUACUAUUCCGAUUUAUUUACGAUAAGCAGGCAAUGUUUUAUCUAAUUAAGAAAAAGGAGAAAGUGUGUGACGACUGGGCAGCACUUUGCCAAGACAGAAAGGCCGCUUCAAAAAUUGUGAUGGCAGUUGUUACACUCCAAUCCCGAGGCGUAAUACAAAAAAUUAGUAUCAGAGGCGAAUAUCAACUAGAAGUGUAAGAGCUAAGUACUAUAUAAGACAAAGUGUCACACCAACGAAUUUGGUGAGAGUUGUUGGAUAUGGCCCACAUGAUUUAUUUAAGGCGAUUUAUAAAGUUACAGUCGGUUUAUUCAAGUUGAUCUAUAGAUAUGAUAGAUCUAACGGUUAGAAUGUAUAUGGACACGUGCUUGAUGGACGGACGUGAUUUAAUAUCCUCACAUUAAGUUAUAUAUAAAUAUGUAACAUACGAGAGUCCCGGUCUAACCAUAAUCCAAUUUUCUGUGACGGCUCCAUCUCCGGAGAUAAGAAAAUUACACUCGAAACGUGCCGUUUUCUUGUACAUCGCGAACGAGAACGAACCACGAGCAAAAAUCGCGCCUACAAAUCGGAAUCAUGGCAGAAUUUAUAAUAAAGUUUCAACAGGAGUCACCUCUUGAACCCGUAGGAGCUAUUUCUUAAAUCUCACAUCACAUAAUAAUUCUGAUCUGUAUAUCUAUGAUCUGAAUUUGGACGUGACGACAUAUGAGGCAUAUACGCUACUAAUAAUAACCGAACUUAAUUAUUUUAGACCGACGGUUUGGAUUCAAUAAAUUAUUGUUGCUAGUGGGUCGAGUCACUAUAAUAAUAGUGGUAAAAAGCACGCAGAUCUCAUGGUCACAGGGCCUAAUUUUACUUCUUUUUUUAACAAAGCAAGGAUUGCAUGCAAACCCAAUCCCCGCCUUCUUAAUUGGUCAGUGCAGCUCAUUACUUCAUCAUCACCGCUCGCCAUAUUAUUAUUACUAGGAUGGUAACCUGAUGCGUCGGGUGUUUUUUAAUUUUAUAUAAUAAAUUUUAUCAGAAAUAUUUAAUAAUUUUUUAAAAAAUUGUAAAGAAAUAAAAAAAUCUACAUGUGCAUAACCAAUUUAACAUUUUAUUCAAGUCUAAGAUGCUGUCAUGCCCCGGGACCUAGCGGAAGCCCGCCCGGAACGUAUCCAGACCCGCCGUAUGUCUAAAACAUAUAAGGCGUCUAAAACAAAACGAUAAAUAAGACAAUAAAAGAGAACAUCUAGAAGCAUCAGAGCAAGGUAUAUCUAGAAGCUACAAUAAGGGAAAAGAAUAUAAAAGUAAAUCCACUAAGAGAAAAAAUAUAAAGUAGUACAACGGAUGUCCCAAAAUAAGUGCUAGAAAGGUACAUAGGUCGUCUCUCUAUACAUGGUGCAAAAUUUCUUUCUCUAAUACAAUAAAAGAAAGAGUAAACCACCUAAGCUCAAAAGUAGCUUCUCUCUAUCUAGCUAGGCGACACCUUUGCCACGAUCCCAUGCCUCCGCCGGUGCCGAAGGCUCUGAAAUAAAACCACAAAAUAGAGGGCGUGAGAACUAUUAAAUAAUAGUUCCCAGAGGGCAAUUACUGACUUCAGUGAAAUGCGCCACUAGGCCCAAAAGCUACAAAAUAGGGGUCAGUGUAUAAGUCUAAACAAAAGGGAUAAGUACAACUAGUAAAUAAACAUGAAUACCUGCUACCACAAGAUAUUUCUAUUUAGCAUGAUUUUGGUCAAGUAAUAAAAAGGCUACACUAGUAUGAAUGUACCAAAUCAUCACUAGUAUGAUGUCCAUAAGCUAAAUAGUAAAGAUGUCAUUGUUUACUAUUCUAGUUAUUGUCCAUAUGUCAUGAUGAAUGCUCAAAGUUAAAUCUAAAGAGACCAGCCCGAAGGUUGUCUGGCCCUGAGACCCAGCCGUAGGUUGUCUGGCCGGUGCCGAGCUUAAUAGCCCCGUGGUAGUCAACAUCCCCACCCUAUGAAUGAACCUAGCCCACGACAAUCCACUUCGACGCCCAAUCCUGCACGACCAAUAUGUAUCACGAUGGCUAUCUCCAGAGUGCCAGCUUGUAGGGAGCGAUCCUCACAAGCAUGUGCGAAUGAGCACAAUGGCAAGUAACCAAAAGAUUCAUCUCAAGUAUCAAGUCCUCAUGUCUAACAACAUGGAAUACGUCACAUCUCUCAUAGGCCUAUCUCUAUGUCAUUAUUUCUCUAAUAUGGAAUAUAAAAGAUGUCAAUGGCCUAUCACUAAGUCUCAGAUAACAGUUUCAUAGUUUGCUAGUCCAAGUGCCCCUUUAUGACACUUUUGGUCUCUAUGUCCAAGCAUGAUAAUUAUGAUCAUGAAUGCAUAAUUCUAAUCAUGUUCAUCGUACGAGACAAGUACCCAACUCGCUAAAGAACCACUUCUCAUAUGCAUGCUAAAAACCCAGAAUACCCUACUACAUAGAGUGAAAAUUUCAUGAUACAUAAGGCAUGCAUUUUAAGUGUUCUAAAAUUCACAUAAAUUCUAUUUAGCAUGGAUUUGAUGUCAAAUUGAGAUUACAAGUACAAAAUGCAUAUGGGUCAUUUUGCUCCGUUUUCAUGAAGUCAAACCCACCACAACUCUUACAACUCUUCGUAAGCUUCGACGAAGAUGCCCACUAGUCUCCUAGCACCCUAAAGAUGUAGAAACAAGAGUCAAACGGACCUUACGAACAACACAGAGCUCAAUCAUUAACCAUCUCAAGCUAAGGUGGAGAAAAACUUACCAAGUGUCAAGGAAGCUCUCUCGAUCUCCAAAUGGGAGUUAGAGUCCUUCAAAUCCAACCUAAACUAAGGUUCUAAACCCAUCAAUUAGGUCUCAAAGCCCUCAAAUCGAAAAUCCCCAAAAUAAACCCUAAAAUCCAAAUCUAGGGUUUUAUUUAGUAAAAAGUUCCAAAACUAGGAUCUAGAGGAGAGGAACUAGCCACAUAUCUCUAGGAUGCUCCAAACCAAGCUCAAAACCCUCAAGGAUUGGAGUUUGAUCCUCUACAAAGCUCCAAGUCCAAACUCCAAGCCUCCAAUGGUGAAGAAAGAGAGAAAGGGUUGAUGCUCCAAGCUCCCUCAAGCAAGCUCUUCCUCUCCUCCUUCUUCUUCCUCUUCUUCUUCUUCUCUUUCUAGAGGUGUGAGAGAGUGAGAAGUGAGGGAAAGAGAGAGAGGAAAUCGCUCUAAAAGCCCUCUAAAGCAACAAAAUCCAGUUAGGUCCCUCAAUAAUCCGUCCUAUGCACUGCCCUAGUCUGGGCAGUUUUCGGGUGGAGGGACCGGCGCGCGGUCUCUCCCUUCAGGGACCGGUCCCUAGGACCCUCCAGCCAAUCCCGCGUACGGGAACCGGUCCCUCAGUCUGGGGACUGGUUGCAUUACGCAACCGCCGAAUCCAAGCUACGGGGACCGGUCUCUCCCACCAAGGACCGGUCCCCGAGAGCUAAAUUCUCAGGAAUAAGUCCAAAACUCCAGUCUUCGAACUUUUAGGUUGAAAUACCAUCUACGACCCUUCACCAAGUGUGGAAAAGCUCGGAAUCCAAGUCAAGCACUCGAACCUCGCAAUUUGCACAAAUCCAAUGUGUUACAGAUGCUUAAAGAAAAAUAACGCAAAAAAAAGUGAUAGAAUUAAAAAGAACAAAAAUAGAAAAAUUUAAAGGAAAAACAGUUGACAUUACAUUAAAAAUAUAAAAAUAAAAGUAUAAGAAAGAUAAAAAAGAAGAAAAGAAAUAUCAUAAGAAAAAUAAAUCAUAUUUACAGUAACAUACGACACGUCCACUAAAAAAAAAAUCUUUUGUAGCUAAUCAUUUAGUAGAAAAAAUUAAAAAACUAUAUCAUAUACUUCUUAGUUUGAGUAAGAAAUUGUAACGCAUAAAAGUUCAAGGAGUCAAAUUUCAUGCAUCUUAUUAUUUGAUGACCAAAAGCACAAUUUAUAUGUUUUGUUUUUAUUUUAAAAAAAGACAAAGUUGAGAAAUGAUCAUUUUCUUUAAGUAGUAAUUUUAUAUAAGAAAAUUACAUGAAUUUUAGAAACCCUAAUUGUUAAAAUUAAAACUCGAUCAAUCAAACUUUAGAUAUUUCAAAAAAUUUUAAAUGUAAAAUUAAUCACUCAUGGAAUUAUAAAUAUUGUAUUGAAAUUUGACAGUAAAAAUAUAUAAAACUUUUCUGAAUUAUGAACCAUUUUGAAUCAUCUAUCCAACUUUCAAAAACUUUUAUUUUUAUUAUUUAAUUUUUCUAUAUGUUAGAUUUGAGUUAAUCGAUGGUACUUUAACUUUAAAAUUUGAAUGUGUCGCUUAACUUAUAUUUAGUUAGUAUAUUUUAUGUAAUUUUCGUAAUUAAAUUUAUUAAAAUAAAAAAUUAACUUAAUUAUAGUAUUUUUAAUUUUUUAUUAUAUUAUUUAUAUCUAAAUAAUUCUAAAAUUAAAAUUUAUAUUUAAUACAUACAAUCUAAAAUAUUUAAAAUUUAGGCAUAAAUAAUUAUAUAUUUUAAAUUUUUAUAAUAAAAAAAUUAAUAAAAUUUUAAAAAAAUUUUAAAAUUCUCUUCUCUAUAUGUAAAGAGAGAGAAGCGAGGAAAAAAAAAAAACUCUUGCCCAGCCCCUUUCCCCACGCUCCCCCGAGCGCGCCGCACCCACGCCGCGCCCUCGCCUGCGUCCCGCGCCGGCUCCCGCUCGCAGCCGCCCCCGCGCCCGCCCUGCGGUCCCGCCCCCUCGCUUUCGCGCGAGGUGGCGCAAUAGGAAAACUUUGAUUCCCAAAUUCAUAACUGUCUAAAUAAAUGUUAUGUUAUGGUAUGUUAUGGUACAUGAAUUUAAUGACAUGGGACGUCUCGUGCCCCAUCCCACCCCUGGGCAAAAAUUUUAUGACACCAUAUCCAAAAUUCUUUUUUGGGGAUCAUCUUGGAUGGGUGCCGUGUGGCACCCGAGCCACCUGGGCCACCGUCCCCGCUACUCUGCCUCUUGGGAGAGCAGUAGAUUUUUUCAGUGCACCCGGUGCACAAUUUUUUACUUUAAAAUUUUAAUUUUAAUUUUAAUUUUAAUUUAAUAUAAUAGAUAGAUAUUUUAUGAUGUUUAAAAAAUAUAUACAAAAGAAUUUUGAAUCCUACAUUCUAAAUUAUUUUACAUAUAUUUUUAAAAUAUCAUAAUAUAUAUUAUUAAAUUAUAAUUAAAAAACAAAAAAUAAAAUUUUAAAACGAAACUAGUGUCCAUAUAUAUAUAGUAUGAAUUAUACUAUAUAUAUCAAAUUAUAAUUUAAAAGUAAAAAAAAAUAAAACAAAAAAUAGUGCACCAUGUGCACCCAAAAAAAUCCGCCUGCUCCAUGGUGCCACGCGUCGCCAAUAGGGGGUGUUCCCAAAUUGGUUUUUAUGGACACAGUGUCCAUAAAAUUUUUGCCCCUUCUUAAUUGGUCAUAGUUGGUCAGUGCAGCUAAUUACUUCAUCAUCACUGUUUAUUAUUAUUAUUAUGAUGGUACAUGAAUUUAAUGACAUGGAACGUCUCGUCAAGGAAAGCUACAUUUUUGUUUUGGACCCCCAAGCUGUCGGAGCCCUGUCGUACGCAGAUGCAAAUCCAAAGCGCGUGGCGGUGGUAUAAACAGAAAAAAGUAAAAAAAAAAUAAAAAUCAAUUUUCAAUUUGCAUUGCUGCUGUCUAACGCAUUUUUUUACUUUAUUAUUUUAUAAUUUUAAAAAAAUCCAUAAAUAUAUAUUAAAAUAAUUUUUUUCUUAAAAAAACUAUAUAAUAGUAUCUUAUUUAAGAAUAAUUUUUUACAACAAAAUAAAAAUAACAUUAUAAAAUAAUUUAAUAUAAUUUUUUGAUCCAAUAAAUGACAAAGGAAAAUUUCAAACCAUAUUGCGGUAAAGUUAAAAUUAUGCUAAUAGUGAAGUAAAUUAUAGUUUACCCAAAAAAAAAAAAUCCAAUCAACAAAAAUAAAAUAAUUUUCCUAUUAAAAUAGUAUUUUUUAAAAAAAUAUUUUUAUAUAUUUCUAUGGAGAAUAUAAAUAUUCCUUGGUGAUAAUUGUUAUUUCAAUAUAAUUAUUAAAUAAUUAUAAGAAAAAAAAAAAAAAACUCCUUAGCAGCAGUGCACGCGUACUGUAUAACCGCAAGCAGGUGCGCCGAGUACGUGCCGGAGCUAUUACAGUGAACUAUCUGGGUUGAUCCAACCGCAGCAGGAGGACAAUAGGUUCCAGGCGCAAGACGUCCCCGCGCUGUCCAAGGGACAUGCAAAUUAACUUUGUCCAAUAUUUAAUUGGAGUUUGAUACGGAAAUUAUUCUCUCUUUUUCAGGCAAUUAAUUAAAGAAUAUUGAUUGAUGGAGGUAUCGGUGGCAUAUUUUGGGUCUGGGGAUCACUUGUUGGGACUCGGAUGGUUUCAAUAGUGGUCCAUAGUUAUUAAAUUAUGAGAUGAUUGUUGUAAUUCACAAGAUAAAAAAAAAUAAUUAUUAAAUUUUAAAUUUUAUAAAUUAUUGUACAAGUUGCUUGUAAGAAUAAUAUUAUCUUUAUUUAAAUUGUAGAACGCAGCGGAAAUAUUCGUUUAUAUCUUUUUCGCAAGUGACUCGCGUUAGAACACGAUAAAUCCUGAAUCGUAGAAGUUGAUUCAUGUAUCCUUGGUUCGUCCACGAAGGUUUCUAACACUCCAAAUCUACAGUAGAUCGAGCUACGAACAAACUAGGUCUAUAAUCCACCGUUCAAAACUCUCUAGAAGCAAUAGGUUAAUAGAGAAUGUGAUUUCUCUCUUACACAAGAUGCCUCAUGAAUUAUUCAUGAAUUUUAGCAUAUAUUUUUUUCUUUUUUUAAAUGAGAGAAUCGCGUGUAUAUUUAUAAGAGAUUCCAACAUCCUAAUAGGCAAGUAAAAGAUUACGUCGAACCUGUUUAUGAUUGCUAUCCUAAUAUGGCUAGAAUGUAUUUCUAAUUAGCUUAUCAAAUUAAAAGCGCGAUUAAAUUUAGUCCAAUUAAACAACAUAAUAACCGUUGGAUCGAGCUCGAUAAUAAGCAUACCUGAUUUGGUUUAACCAAAUGCCAACAUUUUCCAGUCGCAUAUAACGGUAUCGAUAUCAUUAUAAUUGUUAGAAAAUUGCGUACGGUAAAAACGCAGCGGAAAAGGAAAUCAAACAAAUUUGAUUUUGAAAACUCUCGAGAUCCAAUCUCAAAAACCACGUAAUUAGGAUUCCUCAUGGUCUUUAAAAUUAAAGGAGAAAAGUAAGAUCAAAUCUUUACCUUUUUUGUGGAUAGAUCUUCAUUUCAAUUUGAUGAUCGUGGAAUAGGGUUCUCUUGAAUCCGCACACGCGUCUGGCCUCUAUAGAUAUCCACACAAGGUUCUUAAUUUGAUCGAUGUCCUCACCGAGGUGCUAGCUCCCUUGCAAAAGGACGUCUAUUUGCUAGAAGAUGGAAGAGAAAGGAGAAGAGAGAUGACGGCUUGGAUUUUCCAAAAACUUCCGUAUUAUUAUAUAGAGGAAUAUAAUCCUUUUUUUUUAAUAAUAGAAUAACCAUUAAGGAUAACUACAAAUCUAGAUUUAAAUUUAUCAUUUCCUUAAUUGGUUAGAUCGAUCAAAUCCUAAUUUGAUUCGACUUGAAUUUUAUAUUAAUUUGAUCAUAUCAAAUUAAUAAUGCAAUAUUUGCACACAAGUCCUCUUAUAUUUUACUAACUAUUAGUAAGUCCUCUCUUAUAACAUUUAUACUUUAAUACCACUUAUUUGUAACAAUUAUAAAUUAAUACAAUUAUCAACAUAUUGACAAUUAGGUCCUCCAUCGAUUCAAUAAUCGCGAUCUAGCUAUCCGAUCAAUCACAACCUCUUAUGUGUGUGACCCCAUAGGUUCUACUCUGUUUGAUAGUGAGAUAUAUUUUGAUCACUAUCAACAAUAUCACUGAAACUCCUUUCAGUGGAUCAGAACAAUUCCAACUCAGCCCAAUGAGAAUUAUCGAUCAUCUAGAUAAUUCUCAUGAGUCUCACAAUCUACUAGUGACGCCUAGCAGCAUGUAGUGGAAUUCCAGUAGAAUGGAAUACUGAACCUCUUGGUGCAGUUACCGUGUGAUACAAUUCUUCUAUCAUGAGUCCCGACUAGACGGAGGUUAUGGAAUAACUCGUCAAACCCCAUCGUCUGUCAUAUGUUAAAUUUAUUCGACUCGAGUUUCUAAUAUCGGAAACCCUUUUUCGCUAUUAACACUGCCCAAGCCAAGGUCUUCUAAACUCGGUCUCAUAAAUCACACAGGACUAACACCCCUAUCUACCAAGGGAGAUAGAUUCCAUCUAAGUGCGCACCCUAUUUCUACAAUGAACCUACUGCAGCCAACAUGCACCGCAAGGACCCGAAUGACUAGGGACCAAGUGUAUGUACAGUCAAACUACAGUAACCUCAUUGUGAAUAGCCGAGGCACAGCAGGUCAAAGGACCAGUCACACUACUGCAAUAUUGAGUAAGGCACUGACGAAUGAGUAGACAUCCAAGUGACUUCUCGCAUUAGUCACGCUCGGUACCCUUGUUCUCUAACAACCACCUGCAUAUUUGCUUCAGUGUCCCCACACUGUCGACUCGAGACCCGUCUACCCAAAAAGGGAAGCGACCUAUGCACCAAUCUCAUCGGAUCAAUUACCGUCCCCGUGAUGAUCCAUUGAUCGGGAGCAUUUAGGAAUUAAUCACCAAUGACACAUGUCUCAAAUUCUCAACUCUUGAGAAUGUAUGUAACCAUUUUAUUAAUUUCUUAGACGAUUCAUGGACACAUACACAACAUGAAUGGAAAUAAGAAUCCAAAUUAUUCAUAAUAUUUUAAAGUAAAAUACAAAUUUAUGUUCUAGAAUAAAUAUAUAUGUCGGCCUAGUUGGCUUCUAGGGCAUACAUCUAACAAUAACCACUUUCUCAAUUACACCAUUAUUGAUUCCAUUCAUAUAGAGUAAUGAACAGUGCGACCACCAAGUCAGCCUACAUUUUUGGAGCUCUACACUAGAAACCACAUAAGGCCAACAUAGAGACAUUAACCCUAAGAAAUAGUAGACUCAUGAUGCCCUAAACUAUUGGAUUAUCUUAGGUUUAGCAUAUCUAAUCUCUUAAAGAGCCAUACUAAUCUCUGUUGUGCAUAUUAUGAUACUAUACUCAUAAUCACCUUGCUAUAUUGAAUACAACUUGUUGACAAUGAGUCAAAGUGUCUUAAUAUAAUCCAACUAGUUUUCCUUAAACCCCCAUGCCACUAAGUUAAGAAUUGAUUACUUUCCCAGCAAUGCCCCAUAAAGCCGCAUCACUCAUAGCUGUAGGAAAAACGUCAAAAUAGCAACAUCAAUUAUUUUACUUAAUGACAUAGUCAGAUGUCACUAAGGACAUCUAACAUAUAUAGGACAUAGCCUCAAAAUGAUGUUCAAAAAAACUCACACAAUGAGGAAGUAGGGGAUCCAUUCACUCGUUUUCUUCAUUUGGUCGCCUAAGCAUGUGUGUAUGAAAUAUAUACUAUGACAGGGGAUCUCAAUAAGCGCUGUCUUUCUCAAUGCCAUACGAAUCUUUGCUCAGGCACUCCCGGAGUGUCUAGCUUGAGUUCUUCAUUUACUCGCUAUCUCAAACGCUAAACAAUGAGCUCACAUUCGGCUCUAAAUGUACAAGCCAUACGAAUCAUGGGACUAUCCAUAUGCGGUAUCGCUUAUGAUCUCAUCUUGGUGCCAACCAAGGCGGCUAUCAUUAAUGCCUCUUUUUUUGAUUGCUCUCUACAACGCUGAAAAGAAUGAUUGCCCGUGUGAAAGGGCCAAUCAGCCUAUGACAUUGUCAUGCCUCGGAUUAUAGCGGAAACUUGGCUUACGUCAAUGGACCCGCCGCAUGUACAAGGAUACACCUUAUAUACACAAAACGUCAAAAAACCUGUCCAAAUAAGUUACUGAAAUCUAACAACAAUAGUUAUUAGAGUAGAAUACAAACUAUGUAUUGUAGCAACACUGUAGAUAUAUAAUUAUCACCACACCAAUCCACAAAAUGGUACAACAUCUUUGGCUACUCCAAACCUCAAAACAUAGUAUAGACUACUAUAUCCACUGAUAAGUGGUCCAACUACAUACACAAAAAGGGUAGGAAAUACUAACUAUCCACGAUCCCCCUAUCUCGAUUAAUCACUGGUGCUGAAAGAUCUGUCAUAAAAUAUUAAUAAAGAGGGUAUGCGAACUAUAAUCAGUAGUCCCCAAUGGAUAUGGUUGACAAAGCCGGUGGUCUACACCAUUAGGUCCAUAAGAGGUUGAUAUAGUAGUAUGAAUGAACAUGUAUUAAUAUAAAUAACUGCUAAAAAUAACUGCUGAAAAUAACUGCUACUAUCAUUGCUCUACAAUAAUAGUAGCAGUUGCUCCACAUGCUAAGAACAGGUAGUUCUCACACACUUUUGUGGUUUACUUUUUAAGGGUACACAUACCGACAGUUGAUCGUGGUAAAGAGGAUCGUGCAGUACAUAGCAUCUCCUACCAGUUUGCCUAUACAUUAGAAGACCACCAGAUAGUGUUACUUUGUAUUACUUGCCUGUAUUGGCGAGGGCCAGGGCCUUGUACAUGUACUUUUCUUUUGGGGUUAAGUUUUAUUUCAUGAAGUACAUGAUGUAUAGCAGUUUAGUUUGUAGAUAGUGCUCUGAUACAUAUCGUUUGUUUAUUUCAUGCUUUAUUUUGGAUCUUGAGAUGUGAAAACUUUUCCGUUUGAUCUCCUGGAUUACUUUGCCUUGUUCUUUUGUGUUGCCGCUUCGUUCGGACAGAGGAAACUCUAUUCAUUCAGCGGAUCUGUUGACGCCUCUGUGGGCUUCCGCUGUGGACUCGGGACGUGACAGUGGGUAACCCUAAAAAUCAUGAUAAUUUAGGGUGCGAUUAAGAUGUAAGUUGUUACCUCCUAGAAGUGUCAUUUGAGAGAUGCCAAUCACCCUUAACUCCCUAUCAUAUGUUGGGAGAUGCUAUUCACCCUUGACUCCCUGCAACGUAUUGGAGAUGCCAAUCUCCCUCGACUCCAAGUACAUACCGAUUGGAGAGAUGUUGAUUGCCCUCGACUCUCCAUGAGGUGUUUGGAGAGUACGAACCAAAUGUUUGAUAUUAUGAGAUAGUUGGGUAAACAUACAGACCUAUGUCAUAGAACCUGAUUGUGACAUAUUGUUUAUAUUUGAGGCAUAAUAGUUGUACUUUUCUUUUAGCAUUUCUAUUAUGAAAAUAGAUAUUUUAUUUACUAUUAUUAUUUUACUAAUGCCUUCUUUAAAUUUAGCGCAUAGCGUUACUUUUGGUAGUUGCACCCACUGGGAACUUAUUUUAUGUUCUCACCCUAUUGUGGUUGUUAUUUUUCAUAGCCAUCUACCGCCAUUGAGGCGUGGGAGUGCCGUAAGGACGUUGUUCGAGUUAGCUAGAUCAGCAUGAGUUGGUUUAGAGUGCAUAGACAAGAAAAAUUAUAAUAUUUUGGAAAGAUUAAAUAUUGUAAACUUGUUAAGAGUUAAAUUGUCACGUCUCGCUAUCGCCAAUUUGGUCGAUCCGGGCCCGCGCACAGACGCCGAACGAACAGCACCUCCUCUGUUCGCCCAAGGCUCAACAACAACGAGUACAUGUAUAAAGAAAUAAAUAAUUCCCAGGAUCACAUUUCAAUAUACAUGGCUUGCACGAAGGCAAGCAACAAACACAAGUGAUAGUAAAGCUAGCUAAACAUGAAAUUUCACUGUAAUUUAAAACUUUACAUAGCUGAACUUUAUAACUGAAACAUUUAGUUAUAUACAUGCUUUUAUACAUUCAUUUACAUGUCUCUGUACAUAAAUAGGAUAUAAUGAACCAACAUGGUAACUGCUAAAACUUCUGGUGUCAGCUAACUAAGCUGCAGGGCCCUUGCCACGAUCCUCGCCGAAACUCGCACUGAGACCUGUAUGGUUAGUGGUGGUAGAACUACAAAUAAGUUCCCAGUGGGUUCGGCUGGCCGACACUCGGCCGUCACCCACUAGGUCUACUCAGGCAUAUGUAGGCAAAGAAAAGUAAGCAGAUAGUACACCAACUAUAACAUGUAACUACCUACAAUGCCGUAUCAAAGCGGAGAAGUAAGUAAUACGAAAACUGUAAAGAUGCAUGCAUGCGUUUUUCAUUAACUUUACCCAAUCUUUUAGUUAACCCUCUGGUUAACAGCUGAACAAGUACGUUAGUCCUGGGGCAAGUACGUCUAGCCACUAAAUUUACCCAAUUCAGUGGUUAACCCUUUGUUAACAAUACUCACCAACGAAAUCCCUCACGGCCCUAAGCUGCCUCCCGAUGGGACCGUCUGUCGGACAAGUACGUUAGUCCUGGGGCAAGUACAUUAGCCCAACAAGUGACUACUCCGGAGCUCACUGCCUGGGGGGAGCGACCACCACCAAGCUAAGAAACAGACUAUGUGAGUAAGAUCUGAUCCUCCUUCAGAGGAUUCACAACAACUGACAAUGCCACAAGUAACUCUGACUAGUUCUUUAUGCUAGUUUCACAAUUCCAUUUUUUGAUGCUAACUAAAUCUCUAGUUAGAAUGUCACCGAAUUUACUAUUAUCAUAGUCCACAGUAAAAUUCACACAUUUAUAGGGUUCUAUGUUCAUAUUCUAUGGCCCACAUGUUCUUUACAUUAACAUAAAUUCAAUUGCACAAUAACACUUUUCCCUAUAAUGCAUGAAUAUGAUACAAUUCACAUAAAUAGAUAUGCUCAAUAGAAUAGCAUAGACAUAAAGAGAGAUUCGAUGACUUCGGAUAGCACCACCCACCUGUAGUGGUGUUAAUCAACUAGAAUCCACGUUUCAGAAAGCGUCGACGACUAUCUCUCGCGACUCCGUGCAAAUAGAACUAGAACGGCCGCUACCGUAAUUAGCGCGUCGUCGACCUGUCGGAAAGUCAAUUUAGACUCUUGGGCAUGUUUACUUUUUACUUAUAAAGGAUUAGAAAAGGUUAAACUAGAGUCAAUACUCAUAUUUUACAAAUUAGCAUUUCAAUGCUAUAUAAAACGGCAACUAUAGCCGAAAAACUUCUUUUGGCGAUAUCUUUGCGUAGGUUCGUCGGAUUGCCGAACCGACUUCGCCAACGCGUUUCUUUUACCCUCAAUUUGGUUUACACGCGGUCAAUUUCGCAUUAGGACUCUUACUUUGCAAAAGUGCAUUGCCGGGGUCAAUUUCUAUAAAAACCCCGUUUUUAUCGAAAUCCUAACUUAUUUUCGAUCUCUCUCUUUCUUAAUUCUUUCUUUUCUCUCUGGCUUUCUUUCUUUUCUUCCUUUCUUUCUUUUCUUCUUUUCUUUCUUUUCUUUUCUUCCUUUCUUUCUUUUCUUCCUUUCUUUCUUUCUUUUCUUUCUUUUCUUUCCUGCUGUUGCUGCGCAUGCUGCUGCUGCUGCUAAGCUGCUGCUGCUAGCUGCUGAGGCUGUUGCUGCUGCUGCUGCUGCUGCUAGCUGCUGCUGAGGUUGCUGCUGCUGCUGAGGCUGCUGCUGCUGUGCUGCUGCUGCUGCUGAUGGCUGCUGCAGCUGCUGUUGCUGCUGCUGCUGCUGCUGCUCAGCAGCUGGCUGAGCAGCUACUGCAGCAGCUGCUGCUGCAGCAGCUUGCUGCUGCUGCUGCUGAUCCAGCAGCUGCUGCUGCUCGCUGCUCUAGCAGCAGCUGCUGAUGCUACUGCUGCUGCUUCAGCAGCAGCUUGCUGCUGCUGUUCCUGCUCACAGCAGCAGCAAGGGCUGCUGCUGCUGCUGUUACUACAGAGAGAGAGGGAUGAGAGGGAGAGAGGUAAAACCUACCUCUUUUCUUCUUCUUCUAUUUCUUCUUCUUCUUCUCUUUUCUUCUCCUUUCUCUUCUUUUCUUUUCUCUUCUUUUCUCCUUCUCUCUCUCUACGUAUGGCAGCAAGGAGAGGGGAUAAGGAUGGAGGGGGGGGCUGCCUGGCAGGUUUAGUGGAAAUCGACUAAGGCAUAGGUUAAUUACCAUAAUGCCCCUCGACUUAUCCGUUUAGCCGCGCGGAUUAAAUACCUUUCGUAAGCCCUUCCGAAAGUUCGAUUGAGCUCAAAUUUGACAGACAUGUUCGUUUUUACUUAACAAGUCCACNGUGACACCCCAAUAGUCCCACAUCGGAUGGGAAUGGGGUUAUCAUUGGGUUUAUAAGAGACUUAGACACUAGUAAUAAUAACUGGGCUUAAGCAUUUUGGGCCGGUUGUUGGGCCCAACGAGUUAUUAUUGCUAGUGGGCUGGGUCGUUACACAAAACAAGGAUCAAAGGAUAAAAUCAAGUACUAACCUUUCUAGGUGCCUCAAAACAAGCUCCAAAUCUUCUAGGGUUGAAGAUUGGUCCACCACCAAGCCCUACAAGCAAGCUCCAAGCCUUGCAAGAGUGGAAAGAAGAGAAAAGGGGUUGAGCUCCAAGCUCCCUCAGGCAAGCUCCUCUUCUUCUUCUCCUCCUUCUUCUUCUUCUCUCUCUAGAAAGUGUAGGGAGAGGGUGAGAAAUGAGGAGGGAAGAGAGUGAAAGGGUCAUAUAGACCAUUUAGAGCAACAAAAUCCAGAGAGGCCCCUCAAAAAUUCAAAUUUGCAUCAGCCCGGACUGGGCAGUUUUUGCCCAGAGGGACCGGUCUCUCCUUGCAAGGGACCAGUCUCUCGUGUCGAACCCGAGAAACCAACGUUCGGGAACCGGUCUCUCCCCGCGCGGGACCGGUCUCUCACUGCGUAGACGCGCUCGGGGACCGGUCUCGCCCGCCAGGGACUGGUUGCCUCGCCGGCUGCGCAACACUGUUCACUGGAGGACCGGUCUCUCCUAGCAGGGACCGGUCUCCGAGAGUGAAAACUCUCAGGACUCGUCCAGAACUCAGGUUUUCAAACUUUUUGGAUCGAAAAACAUUCUACGACCCUCCACCAAGUGUGGAAAAGCUUGAAAUACAUCCAAUCACUCGAACCUCGCAAUUUGCAAAGGUCCAGUGUGUUACAAGUUCUCACCCCACUAUUCCAGAGUCGGGACCGAGCGAGCCGACGAGCGAUCGGGGUAAAGGUAUCGCACCAUAGUCAGAGGCCACCAGAGUCGGGUUAUUUCAUAUUUUGUUAGUUUACCCUUUUAUCAUCUUUUGUAUUUGAUGAUUUAAGAUGUUAAUGUAUAAAGCGAAGAAAGAAAAGAAUGUAAUGUUUAUUUUAAGCCAAUGUGAUGUAAAAGAAAUGAUGCAAGCAAUAUAAAGAAUCAUGAAUGUACAACUUGGAUGAAGUGGAUGCAUGUAUGUGAUCAAAAGUUGAAUUAUAAUACUUGUGUAGAUGUUUAGUUCCCUUUCUUUCACUCAUGGCUAUUGCUUAUCCUCGUGUAAGCCGUUUGUGUAUAUUUCUGCUAGUGCACUUCAUUUUUUGAAAAUGUACAUAUGAUGAGCCUUGGGCGGACAGGAGAAACUCUGUCCGUUCGGCGUUUGUUUGACGUGCUCGGGCCGGCCCAAAUUGGUAUCGGUCGCGGGGCGUGACAUCUAAAGUGUCAUAUUUGAGUAUAUGUAUGUAUUGACCAUAUUGUAUAGUAGGGUUACUUGUGAGCUUCUCAUUGCAUAUUGUGAGUUCAAAUGCAUGAGAAAUACUAGUAAGAAAGUGAGAAUUUAUAAACUCUAUGCAUGCAUGAUAAAUGAUGAGAACUUAGUAGACCUAACUUAGUAGACCUAGAAAACAAAUGUGACAUGUGGACAUGAAUGUAGAGAGUGGCAUUGUUGAGUCAAGAAUGCUAGAAUUGAACACUUAGAGAACAUGUGUGGCAUGUGUGUGCGAGUACAAAGUAGUAUAUAUGACACUAGCGAAAGUAAAGAAUGCAAGUAAAGGAGUGAUUGUGACAUUAUGAUAUAACAACCUUCGAGUUAAGGGUCAUAUGUAGAUUGUUUCCUUAUAGUUAUGGAUUGAACUUGACAUCUUUAUCGUUAUGGAUUGGAUCAUACUCACCUGUAAGUCCUUACUCGAGGGCGGUAGCUUCCCCUCGGGCGAUGUGCUCCGGAGUUGUCAUUACUGAAAAGUGGAAUCUCUAGAGGACGGUCCUAUCGGGCGUAGUAGUCUCCCCGAUACUUGAGAUUUGAGUUGGUGAGUCUAUUGAGGGCGAAACCCACGGGCUAGCCUAGAGAUUGGGAAUCGAAAAUGUGACCUUGCAUUCAUCAUGAGUAUUCUAUCGAGCAUCGCAUUCUUUAUUGUUUAGGCAUAUUAGCUGCAUUUGUUUAGUUGGUUACUAUCUGUCUGUUCUUCUAUUAUGCCUGAUUUAGAUCUAGUGGGAAAGUCGGCGUGGUUGGUUGCCGAACCUACUGGGAACUUUGUUGUAGUUCUCACACCCCACCUUCCACAGAGUCAGGACCGAGCGAGCCGUCAUACGACCGCGGUAAAGGGAUCACGCCCUAGAUAGAGACCACCCGAGAUGGUUUCAUAUUUUGUAGUUGCAUUUCCUUUAGUAUCAUCUUUUGUAUUUGAUGAUUCUAGAUGCUUAAGAGAAUGAUGUAAAAGAUAUUUAUUUCCAAUGUCAAAGGUUGUAUUUUGGAGAAUGAGAUGUAAAAAGAUAUGAUGAAAAAGAAUGUAAAAGGACUUGAUGAAAGUAGUAUGCAUAUAUAUGAUUUAAAGUUAAUUAUUGUACUUGUAUGUUGAGUAGUUAGAUCUUUCAUUUUGGCUAUUGCUUGCCCUCGUGCAAGCCAUUAUGUUUGCUUCCGUAUGUGUAAUUUUUAUACCCUAUUUGUACUUGUUGUUGAGUCUUUGGUGGACAGGGGAGGUGUUGUCCGUUUGGUGUCUGUUCGACGGGUCCGAUCCGGCCAAAUAGGACCGAGUUCGGGGCGUGACAGAUAUAAUGGUAUCAGAGAGUAAAGUGCCUAAAGUGAAAGUAUAGGAUAGACCUAGAGACUUUUAGUGUAAGGAAGUGAAUUCUCAAAAUUCGAGAGUUGGACUUCGCUCAAAAUCGAUUAUUUGUCGAGUGGGUAUGCUUCGAAAAGCCGAAGAAGUCGAAAACCCGAAAAAUGCAUUGCAACAGAUCCACGAGAGCAAGUUGUGCAAAAGUCUGCACUUGGCAGAUUUUGCUCUCGGGGACCGGCCCCUGGUGGGAGAGACCGGUCCCCGUAAGUUGAAGCUGCGAUAGAAAAUCUCUGCUCACAAGUUUUGCUCUCGGGGACCGGUCCCUACCAGGAGGGAUCGGUCCCCAUAAGCGUUGUGAGCGGCAUAGAAGGUCUGCGCGCAAAGAUUGCUCUCGAGGUCCGCCGGUCCCUCAAGUGGGGAUCGCUCCUUGAAGGUCCGGUCCCUUAGGCGAGGACCGGUCCCUGUACGCGUAGAAACUGGCUGAGAGCCUCUGCCCGCAAGAAAGGCUCUCGGGGACGGGUCCCUCUAGGGACAGACCGGUCCUCGAGGGACAGACCGGUCCCCGAGCACGAAAAUUGCCCAGUCUGGGCAGUGUGAAAGAAGCAAAAUUGAGGGGCUUGGAUGUAAUUAUUGCAUUAGUUAGGGGUAUAGAGGGGAGAUCACCCCCUCUCCCUCCCAACCCUCUCUCCCUCUCUCUCUCUAAGCUCUCUCUCCCUCUCUCUUGAAGUGAAGAAGGAGAAGAAGGGAAAGAAGGAGAGAAAGAAGGAGAAGAAGGAGAAGCAAGCUAGAGAAGGCCUUGGUCUUCUUCUUCUUCUUCCUCUCACCAUUGGAGCAAGCUUAAGAGGUAAACUUCUAAGCCCUACAAUGGUAGAAACCUAUGGUUUGGAUUUCUUGCUCUAGAAAUGGUUUGAUUAGAACUCUAGCAUGCUUCAUAGAGGUUUAAAGCUUAAAUCUAGAGUUUGAUUGGGAUAGUUUGCUAUAGAGAUGCAAACCCAGGGCUCCAAAUUGAGGUUUUGCUUAAUAGUGAGGUUUGAUCUCAAUUGUUGGCAUCUAAACCUAAUUGCUAGGUGCCUAAACGCGUUGGCGAAGACGGAUUGAGCAUUCGUCGAGUCGUUGAAAAGUUAUCAGCAAAACAAGACCGAUUGGGCUUCGUUUCCGCCUUGGAGGCCGAGACGGCAUCGAAGCAACUGCCGAAUAGCGUUCUUAGCGCCCCGACAUCGUCGAAAGGUGGGUGGUGUCAUCCCGAAGCAACCGGGUUCCUCUCUAUGUCUUAGUAUACCAUGAUUUCGCAUCUCUUGCAUGUUGCAUUGUAUUCCAUCCCUUAUGCUUUCUAAUUGAUAUCAUAGUGUGAGUUGAAUACUCGGUAUUAUGGAUAGAUGAGGAUUGGGUCUUGACGUUGAAUUCUAUAGUGCCGAGGAAAAGAGAUGGACUCGAUAGUUUCCUAAUGACAUAAUGAGUGGCAUGUGAUUGACAAAUGAACAGAACGAGUGGCAUAUAAUGUAGUGUACAAUGACACUAGUGACAUAUGAACUUAGAGAUAGGUGGACUCCCUAGUGAUGACUCAUUGAACAAAGAACAUAGUGUAGUUAAACAUUUACACAUGGACAUUGGGAUAGGUGGAUUCCUGAGUGACUACUAGCCCUAGUUGAUAGGGUAUCCUCGAGUUGAGAGGAUGGAUCAUACUCACAGUCUGUUUAUACUUGUGGUGGUCGCGCCACACAAGUCGUCGUGCACUCCGGAGUUUGGCGCGAGAGGGGCAGAGUUGAUGUCCCUCAGACGGUCCCUGGUUUGAGAGCGAGGUGAGUCUCUUUACCAUACGGGAUGGCGAGGUGAGUCGAAGGCGAACCCAAGGGAUCGCCAAGGAUUGGAUAAACAAGAGAAUAUCACUGUCAUUGAACAUUUGCUUAUUGGACAUUGUAGUGGACAUAGUGGCAUGUUAGUAAACCAUUUACUAUAUGAUGCAUGCAUGCAUUACCUGUGAUUGGGCAUAGUAGCAUAGUGUUCUUACUAUGGCAUUUACCGUUUUCUUAUCUAUCUAUCUAUCUAUCUGCUUUUACCCACUCGGACCUAGUGGGGAGAUCGACGGAGUCGGCGGCCGAACCUACUGGGAACUAUGGACAAUAGUUCUCACCCCACUUUGUUGCAGGACCUAGUUCGAGCGGCCCGUGCGAGGACCGCGGCAAGGGUAUAGCGCCCGAGCAGUAGUAUAGUAGCUUUCCUUUUGCAUUUGCAUACCCUAUGUAUUUGAGAGACUUAUGUAGGUGAGGAUUUGGAGAGCUAUGUAUGUAUUUUGAUGAUGGCCUAGUAGCAAUUGUAUCCAUUUUGGAAAGAUGUAAUGUAAUUGAGGUAAAGGAAUGCAAUGUGGUGUAAUAGCUAGUAAAUCUCUCUUUUGUUCACUUGUAUGCAUAUGUGACUCUUGCUCUUAGUUGUUGGCACUUGUUGUGCCCUUCGUUGAUUGUGUAUGUAUAGAAUUUCUAUUCCUGGGCAAAUUCUUAUACACGAUCUGGUUGUUUGGCCUUGGGCUGACAGGGGAGGUGCUGUCCGUUCGGCGUCUGUUCAACACGCCCGAACUGGACCAAAUUGGUAGCGGUCUCUAGGCGUGACACUUAGGAAUGAAAAACCUUAAGGAUCUAGGAGACGUGAGUGACAUGGAAUUAAAAUAUAGUGAAAGCUUAUGAUUGAGUUAAUGUUAGCAUGUCUCUAAUGUGGUCAGGGACUAAAUUUAAGUUGUUAUUUGUUUUUUUUUUCUUGUGUUGUGAUCGGCGGCUGACGACAUGA
rnacentral:lncRNA from 1 species